rnacentral:lncRNA from 1 species
AACUAAUAGAAAUAAUGGCCUAUAUACCCCUUAAAAUUUCAAAAAUAUUUUAUAUAUCAUUUUUUUUUAAUAUACUCCUUGUAUGUUUCUCUGUUAUUCCAAAAUAUCUCUAUAAUUAUCACCCGUUAACUUAACUUGAAUUAAAUGUGAGUUAAAUAUCUAUUAGAAUUUUAAAAAAUCAAAAAUUUUCUUUUGCUCUUAGCUUAAGAGCAAAUAAGAAAUAUUGGUAAUGGUAGAAGGAUAUAUUUGAAAAUACUAAAAAUCAAAAUACUUUUUGUACGCCUAACUUAAAAGCAAAUAAGAAAAGUCAAUGGUGGAAGGGUAUAUUUGAAAGGGCAAAAUAGUAAUUCAUACAUAUACCAGCUAUUGCCAACCGUUCAUUAAUAGAAUUUAACUUUAGGGGUAUGUUUGAAAUAUGUUGGAACGUAAAAAAAAGUACUUUAAAUAUUAACCUUUUAAGAGGGGUAAAUCAAAAAUUUGAAAACUUUUCAGUGGUGUAUAAAUAAUUGCUCCUAACUAAUGUCCUUCAAAACUUUGUAAUGUGGGCCGUGUGUUGGGCCGGCACGGCCCACAUUUUUUGUGCUAAUUCGCGAGAUUUCAAAUUCGGGUCGGGCCGUGCCGGGUUGGAGCUACCAACUCUCUAGCCUAGCAUGGCUCUUCGGCCCGAAAUGCCCGAGCCGUGCCGGACUAGGCCGUGCUCUGGGCCGGCCCCUUAAAAAUAAACAAAUAAUUUUUUUUAUUUAAAAAUUUAAAAUUUAUAAAAAUAAUUAUAAUAUAACAAAUAUUUAAUUUUUUUAAAAAAUAUAUAUAUAAUUUUUUUUUUGAAAAAAAAUUGGAGAGCGUUUUUGAUCCAAUGGACCAAAAUUGUUUGGUCCAUUGGACCAAAAACGUCUUCCCACGGUUUGCCACAGCAGACCUCGACCCUUCGCCCCAGGAGAUCCAACAGCCUUGGGCCUUGGGGUUCGGGCCGUGCUGGCCCGGAUGGCACGGCCUAAGCGGGUCGUGCCAUGCCAGGCCACGGACUUCCCUUCGGCCCGGCACUGCCUAGGCCCGUAUUGGGCCGUGCCGGGUCAGACCGUCGGCCCGGAGAAGCUUGGGCCAGUAUGGCCCAUAGAGCCGGCCCGGCCUGACAUAAUGCUACAGUAGCUGUGCCGGGCCAUGGGCCCGCAGUCGUGCCGGGUCGGGUGGCCCGUUUACGCCCAUAUAAGAUUUUAGAAGAAUAUUUUGAAUAUUGAGGGAUAAAUUUAAAAAUUUUUAAUAGUAAUAACAGGCGUAAAAGUAAAAGAUUAUAUAGCUCAAUGAGUGAUAACAAUAGAAUAAAAGACAAAAGAAGAGUCGAAAAAUUUAUGCUACAUAUAUGUUAUAUGCCCUAGGGUAUGUUUGCUCCAUCAUAAGUGGAGGUGGCGAAAUUAUUUUCAAUAGUAAAUGUCUAUGUCUGCUUCUAUUAUUUAGUUUGUCGAAAAUUAAAUACUCUUAUAUCUUUAAUUUCUCAAAACAUUGUAAUUAACCUCGCCAAGUCGGAUGACAAAGCCAUUAUCUGAAAAAAAAAAAAAAGAAGAUAAAAAUGUAAAUAUUAUAAUUAUUUUUUAAAAAAAUUUAGUAGAAUAAACAAAAAUAAGAAUAACUAUAGUUUCAAAGUUAUUGAUUAUUGUAAAUUCAGGAAAUUAUAGGCAAGGACUAAAAUGAAAGUAUUUUAUAUGCACAGCAAAUUAGCAAUUUUUAACAUCGAACCUCAAAGUUUGAGGACCAAAUAGAAAUUGGAUCCAAGUUCGGAUACUAGUGGUGCAAUUUACACCCUAAAGAGGAAGAGAAAACCUCGUCCUUCGUUUUCACCACCACUCCCUUCUCUCUCUCUCUUUCUCUCUCUCUCCUCUUUUCCUCGCUCAAAUGGUCUCCGAUCCCCGAGGUCGACGACGAUGAGGCGAAGCUUCGCCGCGCCCUCUCCUCCCCUUCGUACAGCUAUGAAUCAUGUGAGAGCCGCGCUCCUCGGCGCCCGCGCCGCGCCGCCGCAGCCGCCGCUUUUUGCCGCCGCGGCGCUCUUCCACUCGACUCCGGUGUUGGAGCGGAAGAGGAGGACCCAAUGGCACUACGUGAGUUCGAUUCCAACUUGUUCUUCUCUUUCCUUUUUCAUCUACUUGCUGUCUCGUCGCUCUUCGUUUUGGUCCUCCAAGUGUUCGAUGAAUUGCGUGUGAGAAUAGGCUCUCGAGUGGGAAAAUUUUAGGGCAUUUAUGGAUUCAAAGAAUGGUUUUGUUUGCUUGAAUGUAGAAUUUGUUGUUGAGAUGUGGGAAAAGCUUGCUCUUUGAUAGGAGUUCAUUGUAAAGCUUCCUAACUUUCUUAAUUUUGCAUUGUUUAUUUGGGGUUUGGCUCAUUAUGAAGCAAAAAAGUUAACACAUAUGGCAAACUUGGGGUUCUAUGCUUUAUUUUGAAUUAGGACUUUUGCCUUUCAUAUCUGAGAUAUGGCUUCCAAGGCUUAUUGUAUUUUGUUGAUUAUUCUUAGUGCAUGUGAUUGUUCUGUGUCGAAGAGAAACAAACAUUUGAUCACUUGCCAUUAUUUUUAACAGAGAUUCAACUACUAUGCAAAACGAAGGAGAAAUAAAGAAUCAAAAACGACGUUGCUACGAAAUAUCUCCGAUUAUGCUGAAUACCUUUUUCAGGUUUGUGUGGAAUCUUGUAGACUUUUGAAUCAUUCACAAGUUUCUUUCAAUACUUCACUAUCCUUUCAACCCUAUACAAAAGCUAUUUACUAUCUUAUGUGUGGAUUUUUGGUUUUAGGUUUUGUAGUUGUUUAUAAAAAUUUGUCAAUUUUCUUUUUUCUAAUUGUUAAGUUGUGCUGUAGCUGAAGUGCUGAACCCAUAUUGCUGGGAAGGGCUGAUGAAAUUUUGUCAAUUGGAGAUGUAAUAGAAGUGUUUAAAAUUUGUUUGCUAGCAUAAAUGAUUCAAGUAUGAGAUCCAUGCAGAUCAAUACAUUCAAUGGCGGUGUUUGACUGUAACGCAAAGGAGGUCGUACCUUGUGAAUUCCCUUUAUCAAGUAUACAUCAAACUUUACCUCAUUCUAUCAUUCAGCAUUAUCUAGUUUGACCAACCGAUUUUCCGAGAAUAUUAAGUUUCCGUCUGGAAGACUAGUGCUUCCAGAAGUGAGUCAAGUGACAUAAGUACAUACUUCCCUCAACCUAGCUCCUGUACGCUACUUACUGUGUAGUAUAUAUAUUAUAGAUUAAGGAUGAUCAAUUGGUUUCUAUAGGCGAGGAAACAAUAAUGGGAAUGUUGUUUCUAUUCAAAAUAAUAAGAGUACCUUUGAUAUACGUUAUUUUCUGAAAAAUGUGAUAUAUCAUUGGUCGUAUGCAUGUCGUUUCUGUAUAUCCUAAUUGGUCUGAGUCUUGUCCUGUCACGUAUCCCUAGUCUGUAUAUGUGUAAUCUAGGUUGAAAGUCCUACCUUCAGACUGAGAGAACUGAGACUGAUUGGGCUACUAUAACAACCUUUUUAUGGUCAUUGAAGGUUGAAAAUAUGGGCUUAGUAUUUUCUUUGUUAGAGGUGAUGCAAGCAAAAUUAGUUAAUUAAUUCGGAUUCGGCAAAAAUUCAGUACGGGUAUAAUUUGAAUAAAAUUCGUAUCUCAAUUUUUAAAUUCGUUGAAAAAUAUGGCUUGAAAAAUGAGUUCGCCAAUUAUUCGGAUACACCAUUUAUAUGGAAAUUAUACGUUCACCAAUUAAAAUUCGGGAUAAAAAAUUCAGCUAUUAAACUAAGAUUUUUUCUCUAGAUUUAUGCUACUAGCAUACAUUGCUAUAAAUUCUUAAGAAUAUAAAAAUAGAGAGUUAAGAAAUAAAGUAGAUUAAGUAAAAAAAGCAAUAGAAAAGUUUAUUGCCAUCUCCAUCUUCAUCUUUUUCAUGAUCCACAUAUUCCGGAAGUUCAUGAAGUUUUUCAAUAAUUCGUGAAUAAUUCGGGAAUAAUUCGGAAAGUGAUUUUAUCCAAAAAUUUUAUGCGUUUUUUCGACUGAAUAGUUCGGCAUACGCGAAUUAUUCGCGAAUAAUAAAUCUAACCCAAAAAUUUGCGUUUUAUUCUGAUUUUUUGGGAAUAAAUCGCAUACGGACUGUUUUAUUCGGAUUUUCAAUAAUUCGCAAAUAAUUUGCGAAUUAACUAAUUAUGAGCAAAAGUAAUUGCAAUAAUUUUUCUUCAAUUGAUGAAAUUUGCUUUUAAAUGUUGAGUGUUUGUUCUUAGAAUUGGUUUUCCAAUUUGCAUUUAUAGUUGUCGACUCAAUAUAGAAGGUAGUUUUUUAUAUGUCUUUGCAUAUCAUAUAUUCUAUGACAAUUGAAACUAGAACAAGCUAUGUGACAAAAUGAAAGGUAACAUGGUUGUUACUUGUUAGGUUCUCUUUAUGCAUUUAGAGAUCCUUUUGGGCAACUUAGUUGUCUUAUUUGGUAAGAUCCCCGAACUGUAGUUUUUUAUUUCUUGCUAUCCAGUGUGCAUUUUUUGUGAUUUUAGUGUUGCUAAUCAUUGUAGUUAUAAUUUUAACUCUUUUCUCAUUCAUGUUUCCUAUAUUUACUAUUUCUGCUGAAAUCUCAGAGCUGGAGAGAUGAAGAAGAACAUAAUGAAUCUCAUGGCCCUUCAUGGUUUAGAGGACACUAUUGGGUUAGGGGAACAAAUAAAAAUGGCCUUCAUUCAAACAAAGGAAACUAUGGAAAUAAUGGUAAAUUAUUCAUGAUUCAUUUUUACACUUCUCUAUUAUUGACUUAAUAGGAAAAAAGAGAUGGCACCAGUUCAUACGAACUUUUGAAUUUAUUAGACUGUUUUUCUUUUCUUUUACUUUAUUUUCUAGAAAGGUGUGUUAGUCCUAUGUUGUGGACAUUAUUGUGAGAUAGCUAUUCGGUGAUAAUUACAAAUGUAGUUAAAGACUUCAUUUCAAUUUUGUAUUCAUAAUAUUCAUUUGUUAAAUUUGGAACUUGGCAGAUGAAAUUAUAAUUAGGGUCGAAUUUCAGGGACUUAAUCGUUAAAACUGAGACUUUUGAGUCCUAAAUAGAUAUCAAAUUAAACUUAAGGGAAUAAUUGAAACUCUUAAGGACAAAAUUGAAAUCUGGAUCAGACUUUAGGGAUUAAAUUUCUAAUCAACCCUACAAAUUUAUUUUGAGGAUGAAACUCAUGUAUAACUGGCAAAUUAUUCCUGCUUCUUUCUGUAGGAAAAAUAAGACUUGAGUUUUGUUCAAGUGAUGAUGAUGAUGAUAGUGAUGUUGAGACCAUCUUUCGUUCUACGUUUGGAGGCCAGCGAUACUCUUAUUGGUCUUUUGAUAGUUCUGAAAAUUUUGGAUGGAGGAGCUCUUCUAACCGUGCUUAUCACGAAAGCUCCUCUAGGGAUUGGAGAUAUGAAACAGAUGAAGAAACCGAUGCUUCCACUCACUCUGAGUUAGCUUCUGCUCGGCAAGCUCUUGGAAUGAGUGUUUGUGGUCCCCUAAAAUUGGAGGAUGUUAAAAGCGCGUAAGUUCUCUGACCACUAUUGGUACCACAAGGAAGCUGGUGCUACUGCUUGGAUGAACAUUGGAAUUUACUAGCACUCAAGAUUGUUGGAAUGUUGGUGUGCUUUGAAUUUUAAAGCACAUGCCCAAGAAUCUUGAUUGACUUCUGGCUGUUGAAAAGGCAAAAGCACCGGCCUUCCGGUUCUAUCACAGUAUUCAAUCUCAAUUUUUUCUCUUUAUACUCUCACAUGUCCUUUCAAAAGCUGAAUUUUGCGUAUGCUUUUGAAAGUAUUUCUUAUUUUAAUUUGUGGCAUGAACGAAGUUAGUUUUAUUAGAGAAAUUUUUUUUUCACUUAUGCAUAUGUUGUAAGUACAAAAGGUGUGUAUGUGGGAAUUAAGUUUUUGAAAACCAUCUCUCUCUAUCUUUCUCUCUCGUUAUAUAUAUAUAUAUAUAGAAUGAAACUAGAAUACUUUUGAUAGUAAAAACAAAUAAUGUUUACUAUCUGCCUUUUAGCCCUUGGAUGCCUAGGGUUUAGUGGUGGUAGUAGGUGGAAUAGUAUUGAUCCAAGGGCUAGAAAGCAGAUAGUAAACAUUAUUCAUUUUCUUUUAGUACAUUCUAGGUGAACUCUCUCUCUCUCUCUCUCUCUCUCUCUCUCUCUCUCUCUAUAUAUAUAUAUAUAUAUAUAUAUAUAUAAAUUCAGAUUUUGUGGGAUUACAUUUGUUAAUCGAUAUAUUUUAUGGGCCUGUAUAUGUAGAUUUAUCUUGUUAUCCUUAUAAUCGUGAUUCUUCUUGCUUUUUGAUUUUUGCUUAUCAUAUGGUAUGAUUGUGAUUUAAAUGCUUACUUUCAUUAUGGACUGGUGAUAUCUUUUAGUUUGACUUUUUAUUUUACCAGAUAUCGAGCUUGUGCUCUAAAAUGGCAUCCGGAUCGUCACAAUGGUUCAUCAAAGGUGAGCCUGGAUAUAUGUGCUUUCAUUUUUUCCCUCCUAUUUUGACCUAAACAAAAAAUUGUUAGUUCUAAGCUUGGUAGAGGAUGAGGGUUGGCGUUUAAGUUGCAUGGUACAUUUAACUUAUGAAAAUUAUUCCACACGUCAUAUUCAUAAUGAGUUAGUGAUUCCAUAACUAAUACUAUACCUAUACGAGAGUUUUUAGGACCAAGAAAGGCAUUUGAAGAAUGCUUAAUUGUUUGAAGUGAAGUUUCUGGAUUUGUUGAGUUGGUUAUCUGACUUUCUGGUGUCAUGUGACUCAUGCUAUUGGGCCCAUUUUGAUAAUGUUGUGGCUAAAAGCACUAUUUUUAUACUAUGGAAGACCUGAGAAAUCCAAAAGCGCUAUCAAUGUUUCUUUCUCUAAUGCUUUAAAAUUGCGAUUGCAACUGCCACUGGAGAAGCAUGUGGUGCUUCUCUACAUGCUUCUCUGGUGGUAGUUGUGACUGCAAUUUCAUAGUGUAAAUAAAGGGAAGAUUGAAAACACUUUUAAAAUUUUUGGGCCUUUCAUAGUGUAAAAAUGAUGCUUUUAGCCACCAUAUUACCAAAUUAGGCUUAGUAUGAUUUCAUGAAUAAUUAGUAGGAAAAUAGAACGAGAAGUCCACCCUCCACAUAAAGAGAGGUAGCAGAUAUUAUAUGCUCUAUGCAAAGGGCUUCUGAGAAUCGACAUUAAGGAGGCAUAUGGAUAUGUAAGCUUAAACAUUAAAGCAUUAUUACCAGCCUAAUAGAUGAAAGAGGGAGCAGUCUUUUUGAGACCUAUAACUUUAUGAUGCUUUUGAAUUUUUGCUGUAUGUAAAAAAUGAAACUGAUUUAUCUUAUUCAUCAGAAGGCUUACGGUCAAUAUUUAGAGAGUAUUUUCUGUUUUGAAAUUUAUGAUUUAUCUUGACAUAUAUUACUUUGCGUGCAAUAUAAUUUGAACCAAAAAGUUUGUGCUAUUUAGUUCUCAUUCUUUUGAUAUUGGAGCUUGUAGUGCAAUUUAAGUAUUAUUUAUGCAUGGACAGGUGGCAGCUGAGGAGAAAUUCAAGCAUUGCAGUGCAGCUUACAAGACACUAUGUGAUAGGUUAGCUACAAGUUAAGAUAAAAGGUUUUAAAACAUUGAAACCCAUUUCGGAUAUCAUUCUUAUGCAAGGGAGGGAAAUAAUCUGCGAAAUUGGAUAUGAUGGAGAGCGCUGCACCGACAUCUAUUUCCUCGUCAGUUUUUUAUUGUAACAAAGAAUAAGUUAUCCACAAAAUCUUCAAGUAGAGAGGGAUUUCCUCUUGCGGUAAAUUUAGCGUACCAUUUGAAAUGAUGUUUUUAGAUAUUAUUGUUACUUAAAAGCUAGAUUAAAGGCAUAUAAGCUACGUUCCAAUCUGUGUUGAGACUUGGUGCUUUUGUUCAGUCAUUUGUAUCUAGAGCUGCUGGUUUAAGAGUACAUGAUUAAACUUGUCACGGAAAUGUGUUGCAACCGGAUAAUGAAAGAGACUGUAGCAUUCUUAUAUGUGCAGUUUCGCAAAGAGACUCAUAUCUGGUAUAUAGAGAAUUGCAUUUACUGAAUUUCUUGUUUGAAGCUUCGUGAAGUUUUGGUAAAAUAGAAUCAGUCAUGGAAAUUUUGGCUUUAUUGUGUAUCAUGUGUGAUCUAGUUUGUUGUGGAGAUUCUCUAGAAAAGUAGGUACAAGAAUUUGCAAUAUGUUGUUGGGUUUCCUCUACUACAUAAAAUUCUCACUAUACUGAAGCUAGCGAAAAGGGUAAUCUCUUGAUUUUGUUGUUGUUGUUGAAGAAUAAAGCUACUACAUUUAGAGCUUGUUUGGUUCAAUGGUGGAAUUGGAAUGGAUAAUGAAAUGGGAAUGAAUUGGAAUGGUAAUUGGAAUGGCCCACUCCCCCAAGACGUUUGGUUUAUUUGUGGAUUCGGAGUUGGAAUGAGUUAUUCAAAUUUUAUUGUUUGGUUCGUGUAAACUAAAAAAAUUAUAGGAUGCUAUAAUACUAAUUUUACUCUCAAAUAUAAAUUUAUAUUAUUUAAAAUUUAUGAAAAAUAUAAUACUAUUCUCUAAUAAGUUUUUCAAAAAAAAUAUCAAAUUUAUUUUUAAAAACUUUUAUUGAUGUGAGUUAGGGAUAGGGUUUUGAGAGAGGAUAGGUUUUUUUUUUUUUUGAUGAGAAAGGGAUGAAAAGAAGGAGGGUGAAAUGGUCACAUGGGUUUCGAGAACUUAGUGGGCUUUCAGAAUAAAACCUCAAUCCGGACUAGAAGACCAUAAUCAAGUUGAAGCUAAUGGGCCAUUCCCAUUCCAGUCCGGAAUAGGAAUCCCCAACCGAUUCAUGCGAACUAAACAAAAUUAACCGAAUUUGAUCAAAUCGAUUCCCAUUCCAUACCCAAAAUGGAUGAACCAAACAAGCCCUCACAGUGAAACGCCUUUCAUGCGGAAAUCCAAAUGGCACACAAUUGCUUACAGUGAAAAGGUCUGCCAAUCUGUUUGUUUUAUGAUUUUCAGCAUUAGAUUUUUUAGAUUGCACAUCAACCUACUAAUUCAAGCUUCACUUUGGAUCACUCAAAUAAGGCCACAUUUUGAAGUGCCUCAUGAUUUUCUCUUCUAACAGGGAUGAGUUAUUUUACAGCAACAAAAUUCUAGUAACCUACCCUUUAAUCCUUGGACAUAUGGUACUCCUUCAAUAAAUAUAUUUUCAAUUUUUCGUAUCGAUGCGCAAAUGAACAAGUGUGCCCAUGUCACCUCUGGUAACUCUGAUCUUGUUGUCAAUAUACCUGCAGGAAGAUGAAAGCAUCACUAAUAAACUUCUGGCACAAGUUAUUUUCCAUAAUGCAAACAAUUUUGUUUAUGAGACAACACAAUUAAUCAAAAAUAAACGACAUGAUAAGAGCUUUUCGGAGUUGCAUAUCGCAGAUACAACUUAACAAAAAUUGAAUCCAUUUAGGAAUUCAACAUGGAUCAGAUUCAAAUGUGGCUAUUAGUAAUUCCUUUUUGUCGUUCUUUGAAUAUUUUUAUGGCAAUUGGAUAGCUUACACAAUUUCCAUGUCGAAUUUCUUUUCGGCAUUUAAGGGGAGCUUCAGUGCACCAAGCUGAGCCGAUCCUUCAUUCAUUGUUACACUGUAGGUGUUUCUAUCAGAUCCUUUGCUGCAAAUAAAGCAAAAGAUUAAUCCAAUAUAACAAUCCGUAUUUUUACAUGGAUGAACAUCAGAGGCUAAAAUAUGAUGAGUUCAAAACCAAAUUCAAGUUCCAUGAUACCUGUUCUAAAAUCAAAUUAGACAACGUGAUGUGAUUUAUGAGUUAUAUAGAAUUUAACAAAGUGCCUAUUUAAAGCCUUAGGGCCUCUUUGGUCCAGCUAGAGCUUCUGCAAAAGUGUUAUUUCAGUAGAGUUGAUUUAAGAAGCAUUAUAAUUUUUCGUUACAGCCUUCUCAGUAGCAUCUUGUUGUGGCAAAAAGAAAAGCUUUAAAUUGGAAAUUUUGUUUUCCUGCUCAAGUUCUUGUUUUAGCUUCUAAUCAAAGUAAAAGCUCCAACACAUUUUGCUAGGUUCUUUCAUCAAAAGCUACUAGUUGUUGCAGUGAAGAAACUAUUCCAGAAGCCAAGCGAAACAUGAACUUUUUGUCUGCAAACUAAAUUUUCACAAAGCCAGUAGUCUUAUCAACAUAUAUCACACUGCAAUGGUCCUUAGCGCACACACAUAGACCUUUUACUAGAUCCUUGACAUUGGAGUAAAAAGUAUGAAAACAAUUAAAAGAUCAGUGAGGAAAGAAAAUGGAUAAAAAAUAGUUCUUAAAACAGCAUAAACUCACAUCAGAGUGCCACUUGCUCUAACAGUUAGACCCAGAACAGGAAUUACUACAUUCUCUAGCUUCCCAUCUUCCUUUAUUAUCUGCAAGGAAACAUCAGGCUGCAUAAGAAUUGACAUAAACACAUUGAGUAUAUGGAGGCUUAGUUUCCUUUAUUAGAAAGUAUUUUGCUUUUGAAACUUGUUUUGCAACUAACCUGCAAGCCCUUGAGACCAUUGGCAGCAAUCGAUGACCAACUUUCAUCUUCUGACUGAACGCAAAAAUUUUGAAAUGAUAUCAGUAACGAUUACGGUGAAAUAGUUAGAUAGCCUUUUGAUGAGUUACUGGAAUCUGAGUUAAUUGAUAGAUAAAUUGCAUUUAAUUUGAUAUAUCAAUAUGUGGUCCGGCUAAUGCUGGGGAAUUUAGAACUAUUAUCGUCAAACUCAAAUUUAAAUAAAUUCCUUCAAAAGUGAAUGAUCAAUUGUAGGGACACUGAGAACAACAAAACCAAAAUUGAUCCUUUAAAUACUCAAAUUAUCGGCAGUGAGUCUUCUUCUACGUGUAUCUAUACAUCGAUGCAUGAGUGCGUGCAUGCAUUCCAAUAGUCAUUUACAUAUGUUUCUAUAGAUAGAUAAAUAUAUGCAAAGCAUAUGCAAAAAGUUGCUUGGUUGUUCAAAAUUUAACCUGUGAAGCCCACAACAAUUGCCACUCUCCCUCGAGAGUUCCCAAGUGACCUCCUUCAAUCUCCUUUUUAUUUAAAGCAAUGAGUUCAUCUAUAACCUGUUUAGCAUACCAAUUAGAUCAUAACUAUAUGAACCAUAAUUUACCGAACUUAUGCGCGUGUACAAAUUGUUCACGCCGUUAGGUCACACCUCUUCAACUCCUGUCCCAGAAGAUAUGGCUGAUAGUAACCUUUGUCUUGGUUCGGUUUUCUUUUGUAGCACAAAUGUUGUUCCCUGCACUAUAUAUUAUUCAAUAAAGAAGAGAAAUAAAAGUAUGAGUAGCUCACAAAAAAAAUGCAUGAAUAGAUAUUUCAUACAUAGUCCUGCAAAGUUACCUACAUAUGCUCUUGAAUGACUUAAUUCUUGCAUAUAUAUAUAUAUAUAUAUAUAUAUGUAUGCGUGCAUUUACCAAAUAGUUAAACAGUUGGAUCACUCCCGAACAUACGGGUGUGUGUGUAAAAAUUGAACUUCUGACAGGCGUAUACAUAGGGCCAAAUUCUAAAAGAUGAUUUUGCUGGGAUACAUGCAUGUAAAAGUUCCAAGUAAAAAUAACAAAGUUGAAUAGGUGUUUUGUGCUAAAGAGAUAGAUGUAAGUACAUGAGGAUGUAUGAAGAUUAAAACAAUUGGACAAAUAUGAUAAAAGUAUUACCUUAUUCCCUCUUGAAAUUCGCAUGUUUCCGGUAUGAGAUAAGUAAGUCGUGUCCAGCCACCCCUUUGCUUCAUCUCCGAGAAGCCUAAAGGGCACCGGAUACGGAACCUUGAAAGGCAAAAAUUUGAAGGAGAAUGCUGCACGGUCGAAUCGGAAUAGGAUGCGCUUCCCAUCUUCUACUGUUGCUGCUGCCUUGGCGUAAAUUCGAAAAAAAAAAUCAUUUUAAGUCGCAAGAAAUCUAAGGGGAAACAGAAGCCAAAUUGAAGUUAGCAUAUCACUCGUGUGUCUUCGUGUUGUCUAGGAUGGGAUAAUACACAUUAGUAGCUUUAUCACUUUGUUGAACAAAUAAUAAUCGUCAGAGAAACAAAUGCCGACGCUGAACCUCAUUUAUAAAGAAUCAUGUAGUCUUUUUAGUAUCAAAAAUACUGAGCAACACUGUUCAUCUUUCAUGCAAAGGGUAAAGCUUAUGCGAAUUAUCUUAGACCAGUUUGCAAGAAAAAGUACUCAUCAUGUGAAAUCCAAAAUCUAUGAAUGAAGUCUUAAUUAGAUUAGCUACAUAUAUAAAGGAAGAGCAACUGAAGGAACAUAUGGAAUUCACGAAGAUGAGUAUAUGUAACUACACAUUCAGAAGAAACUUGGUAUAACAGUUCGUAGUAAAUGCUUCUGGUUUCUUUUUUUUUUUAGCCCCUUUUGAUGCAAAAUAACUACCUCUACUUUAAGUUCGCCAAUUGCAUCUGAGAACAUGACGAUGUUGGACACCCUUGGAUCAUCUGUUCUAAGGUAGACCUCCUGAAAGAUCUUGAAAAAAUCAACUCCAACGAAUGUCCUCUGCAAAAUAUACGAAAUGUGAAGUGAAAGAAAUCAUAGUUUCAAAUAGUGAAAGAAAGGGAAAAUAGAGAAUAAAUAAGGUUUAAAUGAAGGUAUAUUAUCGCACAAGUUCACUCUGAUAGAUUUACCAAAAGGUAGGGUAAUAACUUCAGAUAAAAAUCACGCAGAACUUCAUGCUUCGGAACUAAAUAUUUCCCUGAAAAGUGGCAGGGAUUUUAUCUUUACGGAGGGCAAAUUCGAAACUUUCAAUGAUGAAAGUCUUUUGAUCAAUCAAUCAAUCAUAUUUUGGGAACCACUGACAAGAAUAAGUGAAGAAAACUUGUCUAAUCAGAAAUUUUGCUUCAUUGCGAUGGUCGAGCACAGUGGUUAAUUGAACAGUGUCAUAUGUUUAUUGCAAAGCAUGCAUGCUUUAUAAUGUUUCCUUACCUGAAUUGGAGAUGCAGUUCCAGGUCUUGUAGUGAAAAUGAGCUGCCAGCAACCCUCAAUCAAGCUGGAACUUGUCUGCACAAAAAAGAUUCAUAGAUAUCUUUUAACUGCAAAUUCUGUAACUAGGACUAUGACAGUAUGAGUGUAUCAAUAAAACAUCUACUAAUGCAUGCAAAGAAGCAUAUGAGUGAAUCUGUUCUAAGUCAAAAGUACUAAACUAUUGAAAAAAGUUACUUGAAUCGAAAAUUCCCAGAAAAGAUAUGAAUUGAAGAACAACACUAGUCCUUGGUAGAUCAAAAUGACUAAUCAGCUUUAUAUCAUUUAGAUCAUUGCCCAUAAUUUUAGUACCCUUUUAAAUGUAGAAAUGAUGAUAAAAAUGAAGGCUCAUUAAUUUACCCUAAGUUAUAAUAAGAUUAAUAAUGUAUAUGGAACUCACUGGAUCAGGCACACCUUUCAGAGUUUCUAGGGUUUGCACAGCACGCUCGACCUCCUGUAAAAAUGUACACAGCGUUAGAUCCGAACUGUUACUCAAAAGUUGGUCUGAUAAAGAAAAUGACUCAGAAAUAGUCUUUUAUCAUUGAGCACUGAAUUUGAUAAAGCUAUUACGUAAUAACGGAAAUCGUGAAACCUGGGCCUACUCUAUGGACCGACGCAGAGAAAAAAACAGCCUCUCUGUAAAUGGAGAAAUUUGGCGCAAUUCCCCCGAACUUCUAAAUUAGACAUCCGAACGACAUUCGGGUGAGUUCUACAGUUAGAGGGAAAAAAUUGUUGUGUGCACUCAAUGCAUCCGUGCAACUACGAAGCACAAAAUUCCCCGAUCCUCACCUGUUUUAUUUUGUAUUUGUAAAGCCUUAAUAGUCUCAUAUCGAAUGAAAAAAUGAUUCUGAUUAUAUUAUAAGAAAUCUCGCACUCUAGUAAUAAUAACUGAACCUUGGAUUAUUAUUAUUAUUAUUAUUAUUAUUAUUAGCGGGUUGGAUCGUUAUAUUUUCAAUCCAACCAUCUGAUUUCGAUCCCCGGAAUAUAAAGAGGAGAGAGUGCCUGGAGCUGCUGCGGAGAGGCGGCGCGGCCUCGGCCUUGGAUUCCGAGAAGGGCCUCGAUGAGUGCGGCCUCGGGAUCGGUGAAGGAGAUCUCCUCCUGCUGCUGCUGCUGCUGCUGCUGCGCUCGCUCAGUGAGCGAGGAUGAGAUCGGGCCGAUCGAUCGGCAGAGAGGAGGCGGCGGCGGCGGCGGCUUCUUCCGGCCCAAUCUCCAGAAGAGGCGGCCGCGCGGGGCAGAAGGCAUAGGGGUUGAGAGGCAGCAGGCGGCGGCGGCGGCCGACGGCAGCGGCGGAAGCAGGGGAGGAGGAGGGUGAUGAAGGCGGAGGGAGAGAUUCGCGGCUCUGCCUGCGGCUGCCAUGAGGAGGACGACGAUGAAGGAGGAGGAGCCGGCGGAGUUUGCCUCUUCUUGUGUAACAAAGCGCGCGAAACGCUUGGAUUGGCUGAGAAACUGACACGUGGACGCAGAAUCUGAAGGCCGUUAUCUUUUGCCCGAAGAAAUUAAAAAGUUGCUCUUUUCCAACACAAAAAAAAAGUAAAAAAAAAAAAAAAAAAAAAAAACACACACACACACACGCACACAACAAGCUUUAGAUGAACAAUAGUAACACUCUUUUAGUCAACAGUAUAGAUAAUUACGGACUGUUUCUUACGUAAGCAACAAAGGGCUUAGUUGCUGGAGUAGGACUACUGUGCUAUAAGGAGUACAACAGUCCUUAUACUUUUAACUUUUUAAUUAUCUAUUAAGUUUGAUCGGUGGUUAGAAUGAGAGAGUGAGAAGAUAUUGAAGAGAAAUUCAAGAAAAAGAAAAAUUGAAACACUCAAUUUCUCUCCAAUACCUCCUUCCUCUCUCAUUCUAACCACCCAUUAAAUUUGAUGGGUGGUUAGAAAAUUAGGAGCACAAGGACUGCUGUGUUUCUAAUAGCACAAUAGCCCUGCUCUAGUUAUUGAUACCUAAGAUUUUCAAGUUCGAAAUAUUCUACUAUAUUUUCAAUAAAGUUUUUUUAAAUAAAAUAAACGAAGCGGGAAGCUUGCUAUCUAUCUCUUAAAAAAUAGUGUAGAUAAGUUUUUUUAAAAAUUUUUAGCAUUAAAAAGAGAUAUAUAUAUAUAUAUAUAUAUAGAGAGAGAGAGAGAGAGAGAGAGAGAGAGAGAGAGAGAGAGAGAGUGAGGCUACUAUGUUAUCGGAAGUAUGGAGCCUUCCGUACUUCCAGCUCGUUUUCGAUGUUGCGACUUUCGAAUCGUCGAUCGGCUCCGUUAAACUUGAUCUAGAGUAUUUGGAGUACCUAGAAAAUAAAUUUUAUUAUUUUUCGAUAUCAUUUGCCUAGUGAUCGAAUGGGCUCAAAAUCAACAAAUUUCAAUGGCCGUAGUGAGCCGUUUGCAAGUUUAACGGUGUAGAAAUAUCCAAAUCACGUGAAAUUUUGAUAGAAAAUUCUUUAUACUAUAUAAAACAAGAUCAAUAUCUUUGAUUUAAAAUUUUAAUGUCAUAUUAUUACAUUUUGUAAGAUUUUUAUUUUCAGCCGUUGAUUUUGAGCCCCUUCGUUCACUAGGCAAAUGAUAUCGUAAAAUCAUAAAAUUUAUUUUCUAGGUACUUCAAAUACUCUAGAUCAAGUUUAACGGAGCCGAUCGACGAUUCGAAAGUCGCAACAUCGAAAACGAGCUGGAAGCACGGAAGGCUCCGUGCUUCCGAUAGCAUAGUAGCCUCACUCUAUAUAUAUAUAUAUAUAUAUAUAUAUAUAUAUAUAUAUAUACAUAUAUAUAUAUAUAUAUAUAUAUAUACAUACAUAUAUAUAUAUAUAUACAUAUAUAUAUAUAUAUAUAUAUAUAUAUAUAUAUAUAUAGAGUAUAUAUUGUACAAUAUAUAAUUAAAUAGUGCAAAAUUAAAAAAAUAUUAUAGACUAUAUAUUAUAUUAUUUGACACAUGUUGUACUAUUUUUAUAAUCUGUUGCACCAAUCAAAUUACACCACAUAUAGUCAAAUAAUAUAAUAUUUUUAUUUUUUUUAAUAAAAAAAUUAAAAAAUAGAAAAAUACAAGGAGGAGGAGGAUUUUGACAUUCUUUUCCUUUCCCUUCUCCUCCUCCAGUUUUUGGCACCCUGCCGCGUCGAACUGCGUUGCUACUCACGCCCUUACAUACCUUAGCUAUCCGAGCCACGUUUGAGUCCUCGCCGUCAUCGUCGGUGGCAGCGGAGAUGUGGUCGAAGUAUGGGGAGUGUAUGAGUGGUCGAGGAGGAGGAGGAGGAGGAGGAGGAGGAGGGAGAAGAAGCGGGAGGAGCAAAAAAGAAAAUGAAGACAGAAUAUGACUAUUUUAGUCAUUUUUUAAAAAAAAUUCGAUCUAUAUUGUAAAAUCGAAAAAUAUGGCACAGAAACACAAAGCCGUUAAACUCUGUAAAUGAAAAAACCUUGAAACAAAAAAACUUUUUAACUGACUGUCCUUAGAGCAAGUGGUAAAAGACUUGAUGGUUGGUAUUCGAGAUUCCAAGUUCGAAUCCUAAUUGAUUCACAUUUCUAGCUAAGUUUAUUUUUAAAUGAAAUAAACGAAACGGGUAGCGUGCUACCUGUCUCUCAAAAAAAAAAAAAAAAAGUUUGUUUUAAAAAAGAAAAUUAAAUUUUUAUAGGAGUUUUAUUAAUUUGAUAUGACUUGGUUUAGUAAAUCUAGUUUCACCUACGAAAGAUAAAGACGUUUUAUUUUUUUUAAUUUUUUAUUUAGUUACUACAAUCCUAGAAUCAUAAUUUAUUUAUAAAAAAUUAAAACUAAAAAUAGUGAGCAAUUAUUUUACUUGUACAAUAUCAUAAUAAGUUAUAAUAUUAUAAUAAGUUAUAACAGUACAAGAAUUAUUUUUUAAAAAAAUUAUGUGGAUAGUUUGGUGACGAUGCGGACGUUGAAAGUUUGGUCUUACGUCACUUCAAAUAUGACUUGGCCCAAUCCGACCUCACGUCAUUUCGAACGUGAUUCGACCCACUUGGUCUCCCUCCACAGGGUAGGAUGUUCGCCCAUUUAAGCCACCAUUUAAAUAAACAAUUUCCUCCUCGGUAUCUGCAUAUACUUGCAGCAUGCGGAAAUCGAACCCGCUAACCAUUAAUCCCAAAAGCUCAGUCGUUAGAAAUACACAACCAAUUCACUUAAAGUGUAUAGAUACAACGCCCGCGGAUUUCGAUUGUGACUCGGUCUAUUCAGCCUUAUGCUCGAACAUGACUCGGUCCAACUCACUCUCACGCAAUUUUGAACAUGACUCGGCCCACUUGGCCUCCCGCCACAUGGCAUAAUGUUGGCCCAUUUAAGCCAACGGCGUUAAAUUUAAAGUAUUAAAUUUGAUACUAAAUUUUAUUAUUAAAUUUUAUAAAAUUAAAAUAAUAAUUAGAUUGGAUAAAAUUUUUAACUAAGCUAAACAAAAGUUAAGAAGUCUAAACAAGUAAGGAGCUGAUUUCAAAAUGAAUUCAAAUAAAAAAAAAAAAAAGAUAAGGAGCCUAAAUUAUUAAGGAGCUGAUUUCAAAAUGACUAAUCGAUGAGGAGGAUGUCCAUGCAUUUCAAGCUAGCAAACUUUUUAGCUUUUGCUUGGUGGCUAGAUGGGUGCCGCUUUGCCACGCAGCGCCGAUUUGCAUUGUCCCCAUACUAUUUAGUUUGGAGAUGAUGUCUAUAUAAUUUUUAUCCUGUAGGUCAACCCCACAAUCGGGGCAGGACUACAGGAGAAGGCGGCGGCAGUAAUGCCUCUAAGUUUUAGAAAGAAAGAAAUUUUUUCAUAUUUCUAAUUUGAUAGGUCGCGUAGUGGUUGUUAUCUCAGUUGCUGACUAAGAGAUCAUAUGUUUAAUCUCCUAUUAGAGUCUUUAUUAUCGGACAUGUGAUUAUAUUUAGAGCAGUUUUUUAGGUGCGCCGACAAGUUAAAAAGUAUCCAUUUAGGUGGAUAAUAAUUUGAGGAAAAAAGAAUUAGGUGGAUUGUAGGACUCUUUACCACCGCAUAUACUUACAAACAAAUUUUACAAUACUUUACAAAUAGCAUACGUGGCGGUAUUUAAUUGGUGUAGAAGUGUAAAUCAGGAUAAGAUCUGCAUAAUUUAUAAUUUCAAGAUUGAAAUCCAAACAUUAAGUUGUAGAAUCUGUAAAAUACCACAAGAUAAGUAUUGUAAAAUUUGUUUGUAAGUAUAUGCUCACAUAUUUCUGUGAGGGGCCGCGGAAAAAAAUGUUCGAUCUUUGUCUUACAACAAUAUGCUGGGAACUGUGGAAGAAAAGAAACAGUCGUAUUUUCAACGGACACCUCACUCGAAGUGACGAAACUGGAAGGAGAGNAUGAUAGAACUUCCAAAUUGACGAUCGGCUCCGUUGAACAUGAUCUAUACCACUUGCAGUGUUUAGAAAUCAAAUUUCAAAUCUUUUCGACAUCAUUUGCCUAAUGAUCAAAAGGUUUCAAAAUUUGUAAUUUUAAUGGUCGAUAAGAGGCGUUUUCUCGUUUAAUGGCGUAAAGAUAUCCAAAUCAAUUGAAUUUUUGUUAAAAAAUUCUUUAAACUAUUUAAAACAAGAUCUAUACUCUUGAUCUUGAUUACAAGACUCCUAUUAUCAUUUUUUAAAGAGUAUUCAUUUUCAGCUAUUCAUUUUUUUGUUUACUUGAUGGAUAAAAGAAAAUAUCGAAAGUGCGUGAAAUUUGAUUUUUAGGUAGUUUAAAUGGUUUAGAUCAUAUUUAACGGAGCUGAUCGUCAAUUUUGAAGCUCUAUCAACGAAAACAAAUCGGUAGUAAAACGGCUUGUUUACUACCGGUAGUAUUCUAGCUCAACUCUAUACAUAUAUAUAGAGUAGGGCUGCUGUGCUCUCAGGAGCACGGAAGCCUCUGUGCUCCUGAGCCGUUUUCGAUGAUGGAAUUUUCGAAUCGACUGUUGGCUCCGUUAAACUUGAUCUAGCGCAUUUGAAGUUUCUAGAAAAUAAUUUUUGCGAUUUUUUGAUAUCAUUUACCUAGUGAUCGAAAGGAUUCAAAAUUCAUAAUUUUUAAUGGUUGAUAUCUGCCGUUUUCAAGUUUAACGGUGUAGAAGUAUUCAAAUCAGAUGAAAUUUUGAUACAAAAUUCUUUAUACUAUCUACAACAAGAUCAAUAUGUCUGAUCAAAAAUUUUAGUGCUAUAUCACCACUUUUUAUAGAAUUUUUAUUUUCAGCCGUUAAAAACUAUUGAUUUUGAAUCAUUUCGAUUGCUAGGUAAAUGAUAUCGAAAAAUCGCAAAAAUUAUUUUCUAGAAACUUCAAAUACGCUAGAUUAAGUUUAACGGAGCCGAUCGUCGAUUCGGAAACUCUAUCAUAAAAAACGGAUCAAGAGCAUGGAGGCCUCCGUGCUCCUGAGAGCACAAUAGCUCUGCUAUAUAUAUAUAUAUAGGCUGGGAUUGGUUUCACUUAAAAAAAGAGAAACAAAAACAAAACAAAACGUUAGAUCGUUUUGAAUCAAAUAGGCCGAAAUUUAAGUCAUCUUUUGGAAUGACAUAAUAUUAGAAUAAGAUUUUAUUUAUUUAUUUAUUUUAUUGAACAUUUUAGCCCCAAGUGGUAAAGAACAUGAUAAUUAAUAUCCGGUAAAUAUACUUCACAUUUUCAGCUAAAUUUGUUUAUGAACAAAUUAAAUGACCCUAUGAUGUAGGGGUGAAAACGAAUCGGAUAUGGUCGGAUAUUUGACAAAACUAUAUCUACAUCCAUUUUUUCUUUUCGGAUACAAAUUCGAAUAUGGAUAUACAUCGGAUACCAAAUUUUUGUUGCCAUAUCGCUAAAAUGGAUUAAGAUAUGAUCGAAUAUUUUUUCGGAUUCGAAUAUGAAUUGAAUAUAUAUUCAGAUAAUAAUAAUAUACAUUAAUAUGCACAUAUCUAUCUAUUACUAUAUACUAAAGUAGAAUCCUUUAUGAACCCUAUGUGAGAAGCUGACACGUGGCUUUCUAUAUGCUUGUCACGUGUCAAGCUCAAAUAUAGAUUUUUUACUUUAGGAAAAAUAAAAUAUACUAAAGUAGAAUCCUUUAUGAACCCUAUGUGAGAAGCUGACACGUGGCUUUCUAUAUGCUUGCCACGUGUCAAGCUCAAAUAUAGAUUUUCUACUUUAAGAAAAAUAAAAUUUGAUUUUUUAAAGAAAUAAUAUUUUUUACUAUAUUAUUAAAAAUCACCUAUAAUGAAGGGGAUUUUAUUUCAAAGUCACAUAUAAUUAUGUUGAGAUAUUUGAGAAAUUCACGGAUAUUACGUUGCGAAAGAAUUGGCGGGUGCGGAUAUUACGCGUGAGAAAGAAAAUAUUUAUCUUUAUUUUUAUUUCAAAGUCACUUAUAAUUACAUUGAGAUAUUUGAGAAAUUUACGGAUAUUAUGUUGCGAAGGUUGCGGAUAUUAUGUGUGAGAAGGAAAAUAUUUAUUUUUAUUUGGGAAUAAAUUAUUGCAAGCUCAAAUAUGAAUUUUCUACUUUAGAAAAAAUAAAAUUAGAUUUUUUAAGAAAAUAAUAUCUAAUUCAUGGAUAUUACAUUGCGAAAGAAUUGACGGGUGCAGAUAUUACGCAUGAGAAGAAAAAUAUUUAUCUUUAUUUGGGAAUAAAUUAUAACUUAGUUAAUUAUUUGAAAUGAUUAGUUGAAAAUUACUAGACAUAAAAAUAUUAGUAAAAAAGGAUACAUGUAUUUUUGGAAAGAGAAAAAAAUUCAAAACUCACGUAGUACAGAUAUAGAUAUUGCAUGUCACUUCCCUACUAUCACUCCUUCUGUAAUUUUUAUUUCGUAAUUUUUUUCCCUACUGUCAUUCCUGUAAUUUUCUUAGUUCUUAAAUGUUGAUGCUUUAAAAUAGAACAUAUUAUUUUCAUUUUAUUAUUUAAAUACGAAGCAAAUAUUAAUUUUUUUUCUUGGAUGUCUUAUUGUUCUCAGGAUAUGGCACUUGGGUAUGAUUCUAUACGUGACAUCACUCUUCUUAGAGACAAAUGGAAAAUCAAAGUCAAAGUGAUUUGUCUGUAUACUAUGCCUGAAUUUAAUCGUCCAGAGGUGGUGAAUAGCCUAGAGUUAGUUCUUUCUAAUCAAAAUAUAAGAUACGGCUUUCAUUUUCAAAUUGAACAUACGUUUGUUUUGCUUUUACUAAAAGAUACUACACAAUUUGUUUAUUUUCUAUUAUAGGGUGAUAGAAUACAUGCAACGGUAAGAAAAGCUUUACUAAACAAAUUUAAAUGUCUUUUCACGGAAGAAAAAGUUUAUGUGAUCAACCAGUUUGGAGUGGGGCAGAGCAGCGGCUCCUAUAGGACCACUAUACAUUCUUACAAAAUCAAUUUUCAAUAUUCUACGGUUGUACGUGAGAUGGAAGAUGUUUUGACAAUAUCAAAGUAUGGAUUUAUAUUUAUCUCUUUUGAUGAAAUACUUGCUAAUGUCGCUGAUGACAAAUAUUUAGUAGGUAAGAGUUGUUACAUGCAUCAAAUAUUUAAUUUUUAAAAUUCAAUUUUUAAUAUGUGUACCUACUAUAUUGAUUCUUACAUUUUAUUUUUCUAAUUUAUCAGAUGUCAUUGGGAAGCUUUCUAGAAUUAGUAUAAUGGAAGAAAGCUGCAAGGACGGUAAAGAAACAAAAAAGAUUACGAUACUACUUAAGGAUGACAAGUAGGUGCUCAUAAUUAUAAAUAUAUCUUUUGAAUAUUUAUAUUUUUUUUUUCAGUUAGCUGCUUAUUAUUAUAAAUAGAUAACUAGAUUGACAGUUAUAUCCAAAACAAAUUAUAUUAUAUUUAUCAAUCUGAUAACUUUAUAUUACGACACUCAUGUCUACAUCUUAAAUAACGGUACUUUACGUUCUUUGAGUUUUCUUGCUAAUAUAAAUAUAAAUAUAAAAAUUAUCUAUAAGUAGCAUUUGUAGUAUAAUGAUCAUUUUAAUUUGUAUUUUGGUCAUUUAGUAAUUUUUUCUGUAAAACUUAUAGUAACAAGAAGCUGGGUUGCACAUUGUGGAGAAGGUUUGCUGAAGAACUUCAUACUUAUAGACAAGUAGGGGAUGAAGCCUCUGUCAUAAUUAUAAUGCAAUGGUGCAAGAUAAAAGACUUUGCAGGUAUCUCAUUUAUUCAAACUUUGGAUAUUAUUUAUAUUCUUACUAAUUAUACUAAUUAUUGAAUAUCUAUGAGCAACAUAGGUUCACGUAAUAUAUCAUUCACGUAAUAUAUCAAACUCUCUUUAUGCAACCAAGAUGAUGAUCAACACUAAUAUAUCAGAAAUAUUGGAGUUCAAAAAUAAAUAAGUUAACCAAUAACCUUAUUAUUUUUUUAUAUAUAUAUUGUUCACUUACAUUAAAAUAUAAAAUUUAGGAUUGUAAGCGGAGAAGUAAGUCAAUCUAUGGUGCUUAGUGAAAUUUCAACUCAAUCCACUAUUUCUCUAACGAAUGACUUCCUAAAAGUAUUUCAAAAGAAAACUCUGGCUGAAAUUCAAGAAUGCCAACAGGAAAAUAAGUGUAAAUAUCUUAUCCAUAUUUAUCGUUUUAAUACAUUUUGUUCUCUUAUUCUUAAUACUGAAUAUAUAUCAUUUUUUCAGCCUUGUGUAUGUGUCACUCUAGCAACUGUUCUAAGUGUUGAGACUUAGCGUGGCUGGUACUACAAUUCUUACAAAAGGUGAUUCCUGAUGAAACUGGAUUCUAUUGUGAAUUUUGUGAGAGAAUGGUAACUUGUGUUGGACUAAGGUGAGAAUUUUUACUUCUGCACUUGAUGUAUAUGAUUUAAUGUGAUAUUUUUUUAACAACAACCUACAAUAUGCAUGCUAUGACAAUAAACAAGAGUCAAGGUUAAUCGUUAUUACAUGUUGGCUUAUAUCUACCUAGACCGAUAUUCAGUCAUGGUCAGUUAUAUGUUGCAAUAUCUAGAGUUCGAAGCAACGUCAGAUUGAAUAUUCUAAUUUGUGAUAAAGAUGAUUUGUUAUCUAAAACUACAAGCAAUGUGGUUUUUAAAGAAGUGUUUCAGAAUUUAAAAUAGGUGGACGGUUUAUUUUUCUUCAUAUUAUUUUAAAAUUUAUAAUUUUUCAACCAUUCAACUCGGUCAUUUUAUUUUUUUACAUAAAUUUAGAUAUUUUUCUGAAAAAAUUCACUAAUAUUAUGAUAUUUAUUAUUUUACUUAUCUAACAAUUUAUCUAUAUUAUUAUUGGAGUAGAUACUUUCUAUUUUCAUGUAACAAAGUUUUUUUUCUUUAUAUUUUCUUGAAGACAAACAUCUAUAUAUUUUUGAAUCUUAAAAGUUUGUAUUUCUCUCAUAUACGUGUCCUUACUCUAAUUUGUGUCAAAUAUGAAAGUUUAGUUGAUCUCAUUAUAUGCUUAAAUAUUAAUGUCAUUUGUAAUUUUUCACAUCAAUUUUAGUUAUCAUUUUGUUUUGCACAUCAAUAUGUAAAUGUAAAUUGUUUUGCACACCAAUUCAUAGAUAAUAGAGCAUGGUUGAAUUUUGCUUUUUACUUGAGUAUUUACUUUGCUCCAUAAUUUUUUUUCUCUACCUUUUGUACUUUAAUAUAUACUAUAAUUAAGAUUGAUAGUAUAUUUCUUUAUUUGUUAAAAAAAUAUAAUAUUAAUUAGAAUAUUUUUUUUUAUCAUCACAUACUAACUUUUGUUAUUUUAUAUUAUUAUUUUAUCCGUGCAUCGCACGGGUCAAAUACUAGUACAAUAAAUGAGAAAUACAAAAAAUUACUUUAUUUUCCUACCUUGUUUCCUCACUUUAUAUCUUCACAUAUAAAACAUAUAACAAUUCUAAUAUAUAAUUUAUUAUAAAAUAAACUAAUAACACAAAAAAUUACCUUAUUUUCUCACAACAUGUAUUAAUUGUCCCUCUUAUAUCUACACAAAAAGCAAUUAAACUUUCCUCAUCGUCCUCUUCGCAGAUGGUGGACCUCAAUGAGUAGGGUGAGAGAGCAGAUGCCAGAGAGAGAAAGAGAGAUAAAGUUUUGAGAUUAGGUUUCGUUCAUUGAAACCGACCGUCCCUAGAGCAAGUGGCAAAGGAUUUGGUGGUUGGUAUCCGAGACCCAAGUUCGAAUCCUAGUUGAUUCACAUUUCUAGCUAAGUUUAUUUCUAAAUGAAAUAAAACGAAGCGGGUAGCGUGCUACCUAUCUGGCUAUCUCUCUCUCUCUCAAAAAAAAAAAGGUUUCGUUCGUUGAAGAGAAAUCGAGCGAUCGAUUCUAGAGGAAAGGAAUUUAGGCGGGCUAAGUGAGCAAAAUUGGAGCGGGCGGAUCCAAAAAUAUAAAAAAUAUAAAAAUAAUAGUACGAAAAGUCCGAAUAUCCAGAUCUAUAUCCAUUUUUUUUCGGAUAUUCAAAAAAAAUUAACUCUCUAAAACCAUAUCUAUAUUGUAUCUAUAUCCGACUGGAUCUGAGUAUUUUCUAUCUAGAUCCAGAUAUUAUCGAAUAUGGAUACAGAUAUUUUUGGAUAAUAUCCGAUCCGGUUUAACCCCUAGUAUGGUGUGUGAAUCUUAAGCGCUAAAUUUAUUUCUAAACAAAUUAAACGACAGAAUGGUGUGAAUUUAUUUCUGAACAAAUUAAAUGACGGUAUGGUAGUGUCUGAAUCGUAAGCGCUAAAUUUAUUUCUAAACAAAUUAAAGGAUAGUAUGAUGUGUGGAUCGUAAGUGCUAACCAACUAUCAAAUUAAAGGUAGUAGGGUGCCUAGAUCGUAAGCACUCGUCACAUCUAAGGGCCCAAAGACAGUCACUUACGAACUUCCACGUGACUCCAUCUAUCUAACCGUUAGGCCUAUUAUUUGGCCUCUUGUCAUUAAGUUUAUUAUGAAUCGCAACUCCACUAAACUUAUUGGGCUCAUUUAACUCAAUUCCUUAGUUUUCUAGACCUAAUAUCAUGGAGUGAAAAUUAAAGCUAUUUUAGCUAACAAUAAAUAGUCAACAUAUGAAAACUCCCUCACUUGGUGCUCACAGUGCGUACAUUUCCAACAAUUUUGAGACAAGCCAUAGGCAUAAUUUAACCGAUAAAAUAUUAUCAUUUGCUGGAAAUAAUAAUAAUCCAAAUUUAAUUAAAAUAUAGUUAGAGAUAAAUUUAAGUCUUUUAUUUAAUUAUAAUUAUAAUUUAUAAUUAUCUAAAGUAAAAAUUAAAUUUAUCAUCUGUUAUGGCUUGACAGCUAUAUAUAGUUAGACAUGAAUUAAAAAGAGAAAGAAGCUACAGUAAACAUAGUUGCGUGGAUGUUACAUAGAAUAUCGUGCGUUAUAUAAUCAGUAUCAGUACAAAUACCAAUUUCUAUAAUUUGUAUCAGAGCAAAUCACGUUUUCAACAUCAUUUAAGCUUAAUCUGCUCAGUAAUGGACCCAUUCUGACCCGUUGCCAUCCCAAACUUUUUUUUUUCUUGAGAAUCGUGUUCAAGAUCUUUAAUUACCACAAUCUAAUCCUCUUAGAUUGCGUCUAAUUAAUUCAAAGUCCAAAUCAAGUACAAAUUAAAUAAGGUGGUUGAUUACUUUUGCUAACGUAGCUUUAAUAGAAGGAUGAGAAGGCAAAAGAACCUUUUAUUUGUGACAGUUCAUAACGCAUUAAAUAUUCUCGAAUCAACUUAUUAUAUGCCAUUUAAGAUAGUGAAGUGUCAAAUAAAAAAAAUAAAAGAGUGCUUCCAUAUUAAAAUAAUAAAUUAUAAAAAUAUUUAAUUGUAUGUUAUUACUUUAAUAUUAAUUUUGUACCUAAAUUCGCGUGACGUUACCAUAAAGAUAAAUGAGAGGGAGAGAGAUAAAAGGUUAUUUUACUCUUUACAAAAUUGUGUUUAAUUUUUUUUACUCAUAAUUAUCCAUAUUUUUAUAUUUGUAGAUAAUUUUUUUUUGAAAAAAUAAAAUAUGAUCACUAAAAUUUUAUAAAAAAUUUAUUUGUUUAUUUGCUAUUUUUACGAUUCGCAAUUAUCCACACAAUAUCUCAUGUAGAACAACUGCAAAAAGUAGUUCAAAGUCAAAUUAGCCGCGACACGUGGCAAAAUCAGAACCGCGAGAAACGUCGGCACGUCACCUAAGUUGUCUCUUCUCAGAUUAGAUCUCCACCGUCCAACUUUAGUUGGCAAUACCCCGUGUGGGUCCCGCAAUGCUGUUCAAUGAGGAUUGACCACGUCGGUCCCAUCGAUCUCAUUGGUCACGCAAAUCAAAUAUUUUUGGUUAUAAUACGAAAAUAAAUUAUACAUUUUAAAUAUUUCAUUGUGCAUACGAAAUACUUUUGGUACUGCAAAUAUAUUAAGACUUCGUUUGGAAUUGCGGAAAGAUUACGUUACGUACGGUGAGAAAGUACGUUGGAAAAAUAUCAUGUUUGUUUCUGUACAUAAUAUUGCGUACGUUGAAAAAAUAUCCUGUUUGUUUCUGUACCUAAUAUUGCGUUCCGCAUGAGUCGGUUACAAUAUAUUUUUUACGGUCCCACCGGAGAACGCAGAAGCAUAUCCCUACAUUGUUUUUCCUCAACUCCAUUCUAUCUAAUAGCGUUAGAUAGGCCUCAAUACCAAACUAAGCCUAAGAAUAAUAUAUAAGGAUAAUAUUUAAGAAUUAAAUAGCUCAAAACGGUCUUCUUAAAUCAGAUUCUUUGUUCUAUAAAAACAGCUAUAAGAUAUUCGGCAUAGAAAACUUUAAGAGUGUGUUUGGUUCGCGCUAUCUUUUUAAGAUUCCUAGUAAUCCAAUAUAAAUAAAAAAAAUGACAGUGUUUGACUAAACACAAUAAGUAAUAUAUUUGGUAAUACUAGAUUUAUCUAGAAAUGAGAUGCAUCCCAAAGUACUAAUCUCAUUCCUUUGAGGGAGGGUGGGUAUUCUUAUGUUAAUAGAUUGGAGUAAUUAUAAUAUGUCUAAUUUUUUUUUUCCAUCCCACCCGCCGGCUAGUUGGUAUUAUUUUUUUUUACACUCUAACCUCAUAUCUCUCUCUAAACUUAUCUUUUUUCUCUCUAAACUUCAACUUUUUUUUUCUCUCUCUAAAUUAAGUUAUUUUUUCCCCACUUUUUCUAAAAUCUCAAACUUCUUAUUCUCUCUAACCUCAACUCUAUUUCUCUUUUUAUUUCUUUAAUUAUGCUCUCUCUUUCUAACCUAUAUUUUCUCUCUCUUUUUUCUAAAAACGAUGUUGAAAUUUUUAUAGUAUUAUUUAAAAUUAAAUUAAUUAAUUAAUUAAUUGUAUAUUUUUUUGUAAUCUUAAAUAACAUAACUAAAUAAUAUGACCAUAUGAACCAAACACCGAAAUACUAUAUUCUUAAUAAUAGGAUGAAUAGGAAUAAAAUUAUCGAAUAUCUUUUUACUCCUAGUAAUCUUUCAUAGUGCAAACCAAACGCGUCCUAAAACUAUUCUAAUACCGAAAGAUUAUGCCAUGUUACAAGAACAAAAUGUAUAACACGCAUUAAUAGGUCCUGAUCCUCAUUGUUUGCUACCGACUCGGCCGCGAAUGUGGAUUAAGAACUCAAAUUUGGUGAUUAGAUGUCUACUCAAGUAAUCGCUAUCGUCCGGUAUCGUUUGUAGUUGAUAUAAUCGGGGCAUCUGAUCCCCGUCAACAAAGAAAUAUAGUUCGUCUUGCGUACACACUAACAAAUAUUCUACUUUAAUGUUAAGGAGAUCUAGAGUAAUUCUUUUGGACAUGAAAAAAGGGCAAAAAAAAAAAAAAGAGUAUAAGGUGGGGUCCUAUAUAUUCUAUAUAUUUGACAUGUAAAAGCAAAUAUACAAGUAAAAUAUUUAUUUGUGGGGUUUACUAUUCCAUAUUUAGGAGAACAAAAGGCAAGUGGAGAGUUAGGAAUUAAUGAACAACACAAUUCAUGAAUGGCCACACAUUGUUUAAGGCUUUGGAUGAUAUCAAAUGGGUCAGAUUUGUAGGAGGGAUGUGGAGUCCUUAUCCUCUCUCUCUCUCUCUCUCUCUCUCUCUCUCUCUCUCUUUUCCCUAGCUAGUACACAUGUGGGGACAACUCCUAAUAUUAAUUAAUUAAUUUACUUGUUAAUCCAAUUAUUCUUAUAUAAAUAUAUCUAUAUAUAAACAAACUAUUCCAUUCUUAUCCUCACCACCCUUCCCCUCAUUCAUAUACUUUUCACCUCAUAGCUAGAAUCCUCUCUAGCUAGAUCUCUCUCUCUCUCUCUCUCUCUCUCUCUCUCUCUCUCUCUCUCUCAACACACACAUUGCAUACACAUUACAAGUGAAUUCAAGGGGAUAUCAUUUUGCUAAGCAAGUAUGAUGGAGGAUUCAUUCAACAUCCCACAAAGCAACUUAAGAAGCAAUUGGAUGGUGGAUGAAGAAGAUAAUCUUGAGUCUAUGCAAUCAUUCUUUGAAGAAGAGCUAGAGCCUUCAUGCAAUUCUGUGAGUUCUUCGUCCUCGGACGAAGACGGAGACGCAACUUCUUCGAAUUCGUCGUCGACGGAUGAUAAAUUCGAACAGGGCUCUCCUCUAUUUGAGAUGUCUUCUCUCCUAGAACAACUUCCUAUCAAGUAAGCUCAAUCUUCUUCUUACAAUGGUUGUAAAAGAAGCGAAUAAGAACUUGCUACCCGCCAAAACAAUUCUACACUACAUUCCCUAUCAAUGAAAUUUAACAGAGAAUAUGUGGUGUUGAUAACUAUUGAAUGUUUUACCAUACAAUGAAAUUCGAUCAUUCUCUAUCAGCUUAAACUUUUGCCUAGUAGAAUAUCGUAUCGAAUUUGGGAACGAUCAUUAAUAUUAAAGUAGGAUAUUGUAUCCAAUUUAUUUCCCCUUUCUAUUAUCUUUGAUUAUCUCCUAUUGCACCGGGCAUGUGCGGAUACGCUUCAAAUUAGCUCUCUUGUACUUCAACCUAUUUGCUCUUUGUUAUUACACUUUGUUACACCAAAGUUUUAUUUUUGUUUCAUCACAAGGACCUGCGGUUAAAUAGAAAAGUAGCAUGCUAUAUUUUGCAAACUUAUACAUCGUAAUACUAAAAUAUCAUACUUCAUCAUUCUGUGAUUUGUAAAACAUAAGCAUUUGCAGGUCCUUACAAUGAAACAAAAAUAAAAUCCCAUGAUAGUAAAUUGCGCACAACUUUUCAAAUCAUAAGGUGGCAUAAUGACGAUGAGCAAAACCGCAAAGGCUAAUUGAAAUUUGCCCUAAAUUAAGUAUCAUGGUGAUCUCACAAUUAGCUAUGAAGAAGAAAUUUCAUGAAUCUAAUAAUCUUAAUUUGUGCCGAGUUUGAAGUAGUUAGUACUAACUCUUCUAACUCAUGCUCUUGAUCAAUAUUGCAGGAGAGGGCUCUCAAAGCACUUCCAAGGGAAGUCCCAAUCCUUCACAUCCUUAUCUAGUGUGAGGUGCUUGGAGGAUCUAAUCAAACCAGAGAAGCUACACAAGAAGAAGCAGAAGCAGAAGCUCAAGCCAUCAAAGAGCUCCAAUACCAUAGCCAAAAAGUCCUCAAGAAGCACUUUUUCCACACUUGGCUUAAGGAGGAGGAGCUUUUUGAGCAGAAGCACUUCCAUGGCUCCACAGAGACAAGGGAGCAGUGUUUCUAACCACACCCUUCUAUUUGCUUAAGAAAUAGAAGGGCUUGUAAUGAAAUUUAUAAGAUCAGUUGCUGGAUAUGAUUAUCUGCCUCAUUUACGAAAUGUCGAGUCAAUUGCGGUGUAAUUUAAUGCGCGAGAAAUCGACAAAAAUCUUCUAUUUCUAGCAUCAGUAUGCACACACUAAAUUGCAGAAUAUAAGAUGACGAAGUUUGGAUUGAGUAAACAGUUUUGAUAUGUUAUUCAAUUUUGACAUGCGCUUGCAAAAUGAUAUAUAUUUUCUCCCAAUACAAGUGUCACGAUACCUAUAAAUGAACUUAAUUUAGCAGUUAUAGUAAAGAGAGAAAAUGGAAGAGAAAGAACCCGAAUGUUUGUUGCAAGCGAUUCUCUGCGGCAUUUCGUCGAGCAGCUCCUGCGUCUGAAAUUUAAAGAUCAGAUCCGAUCCAAAUUGUAUAAGAUUCAACUCAAUGGCGAUCUCGGCGGCGAGUGAAGCCGAGUUGGAGGAGGAGGGGGGGGAGAAGAUAGAGCCAGAGCAAGGAGACGGCGAGGGAGGCGGCGGCAGCGGCGGCGGCGGGGGUGAAGAACCGCUCGUCGUCGUCGACGCGGCGGCGGCGGCGGCGGUUGAGGAGGAUGUAGAGGGAGGCCAAGGAGAGCGCCGCGAACACCCGGUUCGCGUACCGCAUCGCCGGCGACGGCGCGUUGUCGUCGUCGGCGCCGGCCCCCUCCACCCUCCUCCUUCUCAUGAUUAUGCCGCCGCCGUCGCCGUCACCGUCGCCGUCGCCGCCGAUGCGGUCGCGAGCGACGGUGUUCAUGAUAUGCAAGAAUAUGGUAAAAAGGAGCAACAAGUUUUAGCUUUGUACAGCGGUUGACUAGUAGAGGAAAGACGCCACUAAAUUUUUUUUUCUAUCCUUUAAAAUUUUAUACUUUAUUUUUAGAAAAAUAAAAAAUAUUCAUUUUAACCCCGCCGUGAGUAUUCUAUUUAUAUCCUAUUUUUUAUAUCCAAAAUACCCCUGAAACCUCUUUCUUUUUUAUCCUCGACCGCACCGUCUCGCCCUCCGCCACCUCGCCCUCGCCCACCUCUCUAUCUAUGCCUGUACGCAUGCCCUCGCCCGCCUCCGCCACCUCACCCUCGCCCUCGAUCAACUCUCCUUCUAUGCUCACCCUGAAAAAAAAAAAGAAGUAAUUUAGUCAUUUUAUCGUACUGUAAGUAUUUUUAUUUUUUAAGUGGGUAAAGUGUAGAUUUUUGAAUAAUAUGAAAAAAAUGAAAAAGCGGAUAUUGAGGGAAUUUUUUUUUUUGUAAUUUAGCCUUUUUUUUCUAAAAAAAGAUAGCGCGUUACCUAGUUUAUUUAUUAAAAACAUGAAUUAAACAAAAGUGAGGUGAUACAUUUAUUUAUAAAAAACAUGAACUAAGAUAUAGAAGUGAGGUGAUAGAUCUAUGCAGCAAGUGACAAAAAAAAGGAUUUAACUAGGAUUUAGGCAGAUACUUGAUCAAAGUGUAACCGCAGAAUAAUCUAGAACAACGAAUGGGACACACACAUUCACUUUUAAAUGAGUAUCUCCCAAGGAAAAAAUAUUGAGUAAGAAGGAAUGAAACUUAUCUCAACUAUAAAAUAUUUGGAUUCAGUUAUUUAAUAUUUCAAAAUUUUAAUUUUACUAUUUAACUUUUUAAUUUAUUUGAUUUGAAUCGGUCAAUAACAGUUUGACUCUAAAAUUUAAGCUAAUUAUCUAUUUUAAUUAAUUUAUAGUUAUGAGAAUUAUAUCAAAUAUACAAACUAUAUCUGUAAAAAUGAACGACAUAUUCAAAUUUUGAAGUUAUAAUAUCGUUGACUCACUCAAAUCAAAUAAAUUAAAAUGUUAUAUAAUAAUAACAAAAUUUUGAGAAGAUUGGAUAGCCAAAUUUAAAUAGUCUAUAGUUCAGAUAAGCUUUAUAUGUUUUCACCAGAAAAAUGCUACUCUGAGAAUAAAAGAUUACUUCGCAUGUUUUGUUCAUAUUUUUUCUACUUAGAAUCAGAAUCGAUUUCGUUUAUAAAUUAUAAUCCUUUGGUACAUAAGAGUUUCGUACAAUUUCUGAUUUCCAGAUGUAAUACAAUUAUAUAUUAUAUUUUUAUUUCAAAAUAAAUUAAUUUUCUAAUUUUAAUUUUAACUAAUAUAUAAGUUUAAAUUUAGAAAUUUUGUUGUAUCAUAAUUACUCUUCCAAACACAGACUUUCUUUCAAAAUUUCAUUAAACUAAUUUGGGAAAUUGCGUCGGCUCUAAAUUUAAACAUCCAUACUUGCGAUUGGAGAUCUUUUGAGAUUGCGGAGAGAUUGAAAUAUGUGCCGUAAGUAAAAACAACAAAAAAAAUGCCCUAUUUGUUUGUUCUGCAUACAUAUGCAAAUUUGGCGUUUGGUUUAAUAUAUUUAACUCCAGCUGCUGCAGUAGGAACCGUAGAAGAAGGUCCAACUGCAAUAGUUGGAACUACGCUCAAAUUGGCCGCGAUUCCAAUUGCAGUAACUGGAGAAAGUAAUAAAAGAUAAGCUUACAUUCUUAAUUAUUUUUAAAUAAAAACUCAUUUUUUUACAUUUGAGGUAAUCCCACCAUCAUAUAUAUAAAAUAUAAAAUUUUAAAAAUUAUUUCUCAAUUAUAUGCAACCAAGCAAAUUAUCUGUAGUUGCAGCGCUUUCUACUAUAUUUAACGAAACAGAAUGUAUAUAAUUACGACUGCUACAUUUCCAACUGAAUGCAUCUCCAACUAUGCUGUAUUUAUAAUUAUACCUAACCAAAGCGGCUCUUAUAUGCUUUCGCCCUUGACUCCAUUUUACCUAUUAGUUUCAGCGGGGCCUUAAUAUCAAACAAACGGACCCUAACUCUACUGUACGAAAAAGAACUUUUACUAUCUAUUAAUUUUACGACGAGGCGGCGAAAAUUUUAUAGUAACUUACUGAGCAUACCACAUUUUCUUUCCAACGCAAUCCCAAAAAAUCUCGAGAGAGAGAGACCUAACGGGCUUUUUUAUAAAAUGGCCCUCCAGAAAUUCGAAUUUGGCAAAAUAAUCCUAUCAAAAUUUUAUUUGUAAAACUAACCCCUUCACAACAAAUAUUACAAAGACGGUAAACGAUUCACCGUCUUUGUGAGGAAUCCUGACGUGGCGCCCACGUGGUGAAAAGAGGAUUAGUUUUACAAAUAAAAUUUUGGCAGAAUCAUUUUAUCAAUUUCGAGUUUCUAGAGGGUCAUUUUAUAAAAAAGCCCAAACCUAACAUUCAAAUAGUAGCCCUCGCGACCAGUAGGAUAGAAAAGAACACCGGCACAGAAAUUCUUCAGCAUUUCUUCUCUCUCUUCUUCUUCUUCUUCCUCCCAGAAACGUGUUCUUCCCCGCCGUUCUCCAAAUCGUUGAGAAAUCUCCGUGUUCUUCCCUGGCGUUCUCCAAAUCGUCCAGAAAUCUCCAUCUGCUGAUCGGUACAGCGGUAUGCAUUAUUUUUUCUUUUUUGGGUUCAGUUUUCACGGCCUAGUUUUGUGUUUUUUGCUACAAUACGGCGCAAAAGAUAGCAUUUUUUUGACCGCAAGCGAGGUGGGAGCAGUACUGCAGCCUGCAACAGCAGAUUUGCACUGUACACACAAGCUCAGUAGAUUUGCAGAUUUGCAAGUAACCUACAAUCAUCACCUGGCGACUGCAGGGUUAGGCCAAAGUGUUGUGUUCAUAAAAAGAGUAGUUCGCUAUACAUUUUAUACUCAAAAAUUCACCACUGCAGCUAAAACGAAGUCCGAAAACCCAUCCAUGUCUACAUCAAAGCAGAAGCUCCAAUUUUUCUGUGUCCCAAAACCAGCCCUUUCUAGAGCUACAACAUUCCAACAAGCAGCAACUCUGCUCUGGGUAAGUAGAAUAGGAAUCCCCAAUUCAAAGCUCAAUCUUCUGUUCUGUUGUAACAAAAAGUGUCAUCUGGCUCAGCAGAUUUUAGUCGCCCUAACUAAACACGCUAAAUAGUAGGAUGUGUAUCUCACAUCAAUAUUAUCUAUUCAACACUCAUUAACUAACACGCAAAAUGGUUGACAAAGUAAACUUGGUAGAUAUUUUGAUAUAACUAGACAGAUUUUUUUUUUUUUUUUUGGAUAUAAUUUUAUAUUUCAGAAGAACUCCACAGACAGAAUUUGAAAGAAGAUUGUUGGUUUACACGCGAAAAUAAGUUUUUCUAAUUCUGGGGAUUACACCGAGGACUGAAUAUUAUAAUACAGGACUUGAAUGAUGGCAUUUGGUCACUAUUCUAAGGCUCAAAAUGUAGAGAUUUCGAGUUGAUCAAACUUUUGAAACCUUAGACCUGAGACCGCCGAGCUUUCUGAGCUUUUGUAUUUACCUUGCUCUUUUGUCCUGGAGAGAGAAAGAGAGAGAGAGAAAGAGAGAAAGCGAAGUCCAUUAAUUCUAAUGGAUUGGAUGAUAUUGUGUGAUCCCACGUUUUGGCGGUAGCUUCCUCAAGAUGAAAAGAACUAGAGCUGAGGGGAGAAUUUCAACCAGCUGCAAAAUAUUAAGCAAGUGUUAUCGAUACAAACAUAGACGGGAAAAAAGAAAACAUAAAAUUUAAUUAAAUAGCCUUUUGUUUUUCAGAAGAAGCAUAUUAUGAUAUAAAGAAUCGUGCCCUCUGUUUGCUUCAUGUUCUCUAUCAUAUCCAAUGAGGUCCUCAUGGAUAAUUUUAUGAUUUCUGUAUCCUGUAGCUUUAAUUGCAAGUAAAAGGGCACUUUACUUAGGCCCUUAACCCCCUCCCCUACUUUUUUUUAAGGAAAAAAAAAAGAAAGAAAGAAAAAUACUUAUGUUUGGUACUGAUAUUGCACUUACCAUAAUUUAACAAGUAGAUUAUUAGGAUGGCGUAAGCUACUGUCUGAUAUAAUAAAAAAGUGCUGUAGCCAGUUGGAACUUUUUCUUCUUUACAAAAUGUAUACUCUCCUAUGAGUGUAAAAAAACAUCUUGAACAUCUCUAAAAUUGUUAUUAUUAUUUUGGGUGAUAACAAUUCAAGCAUGUUGAAUGAUCCUGAAGUGCAAUUAGAGGUUAUUUUGUUCUCGUUAAUGACAAAAUUUAGUCCUUGUUUGAUCUUAGAAUAUAUCACACCUCAAAGUUUAAAUUUCAAGAUUUAGUCCACUGUUUGGCAAGGGGGACAAUUAAGUUCCUAGUACUCCACUGUCUGAGAAAAGAUGCCAAGUCAGGAUCCUUGUUGGGGUUCGCUGACAUAACAAUUUUCUGCAGUCACAGCUUAAACUAUGAGUCAAAUCGGGAUCAAGCUUAAGGGAUUACAUUGUGAUUAAUCCUGCUUAUUGUCAGUAAUUUCAUGUAACCCUCACUGCUUUAUUUGUGUUUUUCAUAGUUGAAACUUCUUCUGCCACUAUGCGGCAACUAAUCUCGCUGACGUUGAACUUGGUAAACUGAGAUGGUGAAUAAUUGAAAAGCACAUCAAAGACCUAAUAGCAUGGCUCUUAACUAGUCUCUGGACACAUGCUCUACUGUCAAGGUACGCUUCCAAGCCCUUGUAGGUAAUUCUGCACAUUUUUCUUGGGGUUUCCUCUUCCUUGUUCAUAUUCAAAAGAAAGGCUCACCCUCAUUACUCCUAAAUAGUCUUAUUUCUCUAAGUGCCUAGUCUCAAAAAAGUAAAUUACACUCCACUACUAGUCUGCGAAGCAUAAUUUAGUCGAAAUCAAUAGCCACAAAAUCUACUCGGAAUUUCUAUUUUCAUAACCUGUUGUUCCAUUUAAAGGAUCACAUCGCCCACAGCUUUAAAUGACAACCCAAUUAACAACAAAAUAUCAAAUUUAAUCAAGUUUUAUCAUGCCGGAGAAAAAGAGGAAUACAGAUUCAGGCUUACCAAGUAGUAUAAAAAGUUGAGAAUCGGAUGGUUCAGAACAUCUAGGUCUGCCGCUUUAUCAAAUGCAUUGAAGAACAUCUGUGUCACACAAAUGUUUUAGUUAGUUAAUCUAUUACUGUAACACCUAAACAAUCUCAGCAGAAAUUGAGACGCGCCACACGUACCAUAAUGCAUCUCACCAAGAAGCAAGAAAAGCAUAUGGUGGUCACAUAACCAACCUAUAAAAAAUUACAAAAAUAAGAAAGAACAAGGUUAUAAGCCAAAAAUUACCAUUCAGGAGGACUGCUUUCAUGGGUUACUAACUUAGUCCCUAAACUUUGUUAUACAAAACAAAUAAGUCCUGUUAGUAUACAGGUGAAUAAGUUACAACAUCUGCACUAUAAUUAAAUUUCGCUUAGUUGAAAUUCAAAUUUGAGAAUGACAAUUAUGUUCGGGGUCAAAUUUUAAGGAUUAUAUUCUUAUUUUAACUCCAAACACAAAUUUAAAAUAAGAGUCAAACUGAUCAUCUCUUCAUCAGGAACUAAAUUUGUAUUAAUAUAAAGUGAGUGAACCCAAAGAAUACCUCCUGCAACUUUUUGCGCCGCCCUUUGGAUUCAACAGGAAAACGUUGCAACAUGAAGAAAAGCCUAGCAAAAAUGAACCAAAAAAAAAACAAUAAAAAAGCAUAAUUCCUUACGAGUAGUAUAUGUAACAAGACAGUACAAUUGUGUAAUAGAAAACAGUCUGAACUUGUAAAAGGAAGUAAAUCAUCUCAAAAUCAGCUCUCUGUCCAAAACUGGCACAACUACAAGUUAUUACUUAACAAAAUUCUAGAGAAUGAAGAGCCAACCAUACCAUGGGGCAAUUAAUAUUCUUCAGAAACUGGUAAUAGUAGUAACUUUUGUACAUCUGAACUAAGUUAAGCUACAGUUAUAUUAAUCUCACAGUCAUAUCGGCAUUUACUUCUGAUGUUUUGAGUAGCCAAAUAAUAUUAAACUAUAUAGAACCCAUGACACAGACCUAGUAGACUUGAUUACGGACUGAAUAUUAGUUGACUCAGGAUCAACCCAAACUAAAGAGAAACUUAAAUUCCAUUAGAACCCCAUUUAAUCCACUAAAAAAAGUUUGAAUCUAAAGCAAUCAACUGAGCAAAUUGGACACAAUUUUGACACAAAUAUAAGUGAUGUAUUGAUUCUCCAAAUUGAAUUGCAUCAUCAGCUAAUUGUAAAGAGGGAAACAACAAGAAGGAAGCAAGCGGCAUUUUCAAAUUUUAACUAUGUUAGCUGCCAAGUUUAUGUUAAAUUAGAAACACAUAUAAAUACUAGCUAAUUAAGGGAAACUAAUGGAAAGAAAGGUAACAUGGAAGACUAACCAAAGUAGUCGAAAAUAGAGAAAGUAUCAUUACCUUCCUCCAUAGAGUAGGAACCCAAGGGCUGCAAACAACGAGACACCUGCCAAUAUAAAAAAAAGUAUUAAGGCUUUUUGGGUACAGAAGAAAUUGCAGUAAAAUGAGUAAGAAAACCAGGAAAAUAUAAACUUCACCUGCAAAGAAUAUCUUUGACAAGACUACCAUAGCUUGAACAGGCUUCCACCACAAAAGCAACCAAAGAGCUAACUGGAAGAAGUUAGAAUGAGCUAACUCCACAAGCGUAAGUCACAAACAUUGAGAAGAGUAGCAAAACUAACCAAUAGAUCAACAACUAUGUAAACCACUAACCGAAAGAAAAACAGGAGUGCAAAUGUCAGAAAUAGCUGGACUUGCCAUUUACACUAUGUAUUCACAUUCAAGCUAAUGUAUGUGAACCCAAUAACCAAAUAGGUUGCAGCAUUAUGUCAUCAAGGUCAGAACAACCUAGUGAGUUUAAACAAAAUUCAAUUGCCUAUGUCCUUAAGCCUAUUAGAAUGCAACAUAAUAUCAAAGAAGGAAGAUGUCCAGGGGCGAAAACACACACACACACACACACACACACACACACACAAAACUAAUGUCGGUCAUUUUAAUAUAGAACCUCAAACUUACAGGUUUUUUUUUUAAAAAUUGACAAUCCCUCAACUUUUGCUCAUUUUGGUUUGACUUAUUUUUAUUGGCUCAAAUCAAAUCACAAUUUACAAAUCAAAAGACUAUCUCAAUAUAUGUGGAAUAACUAGCUAGCUUCCUUUCGCAUAUUGGCAAAUUACGAAGAUUGUUCUUAACAAAGUUAGCUUCCUGUCUUGUUAUACUAAAAUUUAAAAAUGUCCAGUGCUUAAAGUGUAUAUGAGAUGUGGACACACCAUCGAUGUGAUGACCUAAUAAUGCAGGUGAUAUGUUACCUGUAUGGCAUACACGACUCCAUUGAUUGUGUAGAAAGUAGGUCUUAGCCCAUCAGUGGAUAUUGCACGCGCCUGUCAUGCCCCAUUUCGGAGAGACAAAAUAAGGAAGCAUGACCAAAUGAGAUCUAAAAGAAAUAAGCACUGAUCAAUACCCAGUGAGACAUACCUGAUAAUAUAUUUCAGCCCAGAAGAGAACUAGGAGUGCAUAAGUUGUGAAAAAUGCAAGGCCGGGUAAAUCAAGGAGAACAUGUUGAAAGAUCUGGAGCACAAGUGCUAUAAGCUUAAUGCAUUAUAUUCAAAUGAAUAUACCAGUAGAUAUUGCCAGGUUAAUUUUGUACCUCGGGCUUUAUUUUUUGCACACUACGCCGUAAAGCAAAGACAACCGAACGUACUAUAAGAAAGCAACAGAAAAGCAGUGUCAGUGUAAAAGUUAUCAAAGCACAAAAAUACCACGCUAUAAUGGGUGUUCACACAUACCGCCAUUCACCAAGAAAUUCAAGAAAUGGAAAACCUUCUGUGUUGUCCAUCCAUACUCAGGCACUCUGCAUUCGAUUCUAAUCAAUUGGAUCUGAAAUGGGAAAUUUAGUACAUAAAGUUAAAAUUUACUACAGCCUUUAGAUACUUCCUUUUUUUUUAGGGAGAACAUGGAAGUACAAAAUCAAAUUAAAAAAUUCAAACUCAUGACCUUAGAUAUUUUAUUUGUGUUAUUCCAAAUACGAAUAGAAUACAGAUAAUAUAUGGGUAACAGUGUGGAAAUCACGUUAGCCUCAAACAGACAUGCAAAUUAUACAACAACUAAAAUCAUGUUUGUUUGACAUAUAGAGAUAUCAUCAACAAUUAAAUAUGUACAACAAAUAAAUUGGAAGAUACCAAAAAGCAUGGAAAAAUAUGCAUAUUGUCAAACACCCUGUAGAAUUUUAUGUUUGAUUAUAUAUUAAGGUAUAUGAAUACCAUAAUCUAGAAUCAAAUCGAGUACUAUAAUCCAUAUCUAUGUCCAGAGGGUAAAGAUAUAGAGUCUAAAUUCACACCGAACAAGGAAACCUGGCGCAGUAAGAAAAGAUACAAAUUUUGGAAGCUGGAUAAGAUGGAUAACGUAUGAUUCAUUAUCACUCAAAUCAAUAAAUUAACCAAUUAAAUCUUGUUUUUAAUGACCCAAAUGCUAAACAAGUACCUAGUUAUAAUUGGCAUUAACUAGUCAGGCAAUAGGAAAAACAUCUCAAGGCAUUAAAGUGUUGCAGUUAGAGAUAUAGGAUCUUAAAGUGGAAUAGGGAUAGUUUUACAACACGGAAGCAUAUAGAGUUUUCCCAAAUUACCAUGGCUUUACUUACAAAAAUCAUCCUUGGACAUAAUUUUUUUUUCCCAUCUUUCUCAAUUAUCCCGGAACAUUUAGAAUUGUUGAAAUUUGAACUGUCGCACUAUACUCUCAUCUCAAAUAGGUUCAAAUAAUAUGAUUAACUAUAAAGCCAAGAUGGAAAAUUCACAGCAGAUAGUUGGCACAUAGAGUUGCUGUCUAAAUGAUAGAUCUAAAACCCCCCCAAAAAAAAGAAGAAAUCUCUUCCUUUACUGCAGAACCCCCCCUCCGAACCGUGAUCUGGAUUACACAUAUCGAUUUGUGGUGGGUUCUCGAUCUGGCUCACAAAAAGGGGGGAACCAGAAUAGUAGAGAAGCACUUCAAUUUUUCUAGAUCUAAUAUGUUUAGUUACCUGAAAAAAAAUGUUUUACUAGAUAGAAUAAUACAAAAGAGUCAUAUUCCUAUGGAAAAAAUUGAGGCAAGUCUUGAUUAGAAUAGAGAAUAUCCAAUCCAACCUUAAUGAAAGAAAAGAACUAUACGAUAACAAAGGUAAGUUAUUGAAUUUUUAAGAUCUGUACUGACAUUCUAAGCAAACCAAAUUCAGAAAUAACGUUUCGACUAAUCAUACGCCCCUCGUACCGCACUCCUAUGAAACUAGCGAAUCACAAUUCCGUACUCCUACCACACACCACAGCGUAUCCCAUUCCAGGCGACAUUGUACAAGACCUACCUAAAUUGGCACUGUAUCACACAAUUUAUUCAAUUUGUAUAACUCUCUUUCUAUUUUAGUAUAAUCCACAUCAUCCUAACUCAAUUCCAUGAGUUUUUGCAUCCAAAUUCAACAAUCAUCCCUAUUUCCAGCCCUAUGUGGUAAUAGAGCCUCAAUUGACAAUGUUGGGGAUUAAUUCAUAUAAGAAUGAAAGUGCACAGUUAUUGUUGCUAAUUUGGCCUUAAAAUCUUCUAUACCGACUUUCUACAAUUAUUGGAAUUAAAAUUAACACAUAUAUCCAAAUCCCCAACAUUAGAAUAAUAAUCACAUGAACAAUUGGAGAACCCUAACAGCAGAUCCCAGAUAUCAAUGGGGAAAACAAAUCGAAAGGAUCCAAAAUCGAAUCUUACGAGGGCCACGACUCCAACGAAUCCGUAGAGCGCGGCAAGGGCGUGGAAGAUCCGAUCCUGCCACACAGGCGAGUUGUUCAACUCCUCCCACCAAUCGGCGGCUGCGGCGGCCCUCCGUAGCGCCACCGCCUCCGCCGCCGCCGACGCCGACGAGGCCAUGGAUCGCCUUCCCGAAGUGUGCGUCCCCUCCACGAAAUCGAGAUUGGUGAGCAAGGGAGAGAGAGAGAGAGAGAUUAGGGUUAGGAAUAGGGAAUUAGGGUUAAUUAGGGUUAGGGAUUAGGGAUUGGAGACGAGAGAGAGGGAGAGAGGGAUCGAAGGAGAAAGGGCGAGAAGGCGAGAGAGAACAGGAGAGAGAGGAAAGGGAUUGCGGUGGAAGUUAAAAUUGAUUUCGAUUUCUCAGUAAUCGCCUGUACACGGUGCACCACGUCAUCUCUAAACCGCCCAAAAUUUUUUUUUUGGGUAUAUAAUUAGACGUUAUAAUUGUUUAAUUUUUGCUUCUUAAACAAUUUUAAUAUUUAUAAUUUAGUAUAAUAAUAUAUUUUAUUUACCAACUAAUUUAUUUAUUUUGAGAAAAAUAAUUUAGAGAUUGAAUACAGUAUUCAUUCUAAAUAUUCUGUCACACUCAUCAUCUAUCAAAUAUUAUAUAUUUUUUAAAUAUGCUGAAUAAAAUAUUCAUGUAUUCAAAUUAUUUUCUAUAUUUAUUUAUAGGAGCUGUUGAAAAUUCUUGUUAAAAUAUGUUCUAAUUUUGAGUUUUAAUUAUUUACAGUAGUUUUCAAAAAUAAAAUGUUAUAAAAAAAAAAUCACAAUAAAAAAUUGUGUAUAUAAUACUUAUAAUAAGAAAUUUAUCAAAUUAGAGAAAAGAGUUAGUACGGUUAGUAAAUUUUUUUAUAUUUUUUCGAAAAUGCUAAACUGGGACUUUUAUUAAAAAAAAGUAAAAUUUAAAAAAUAUAUAUCAGGAUUAAAAAAAUUAUAAAUAUUUUGUAAAAAUUGUGGGUUUCAAACUUUCAAUGUGUGAUGGUGGUUUCAAGAAUCCGUAGGAUGGAGGGUGGAUAGUGGAUGGUCCACGGAUGACGCGGUGGACCACGUUCAGGCAAUUGGUGUGUAAACGGGUGGGGGACACGUACGGCAUGGGAGGGGCGGUGGAUGGGAAUGGGAAAAAAUGGAUCGGGUUAGAAUCAAAAGAUCCGAAUCCGAUUAUUAGGCGCUUUAUGCUUUAGAUGUACUUUAAUAAGGUAGUGUUUGGUAAAUUUUGAAGGAUAAAGUUUUUUUUUCUUUCCAGUUUCGAGAAUAAAAAAUAUUAUGAUAUAAACUAGAAUAUUGUAAAUUUAUAUUUGGACACAUUUUGAUAUUUUUUAUAGUGUUUCAAAAAAGAUGUAGCAAAAAAAAAAAAGAGAAGUAUAAAUCUCAUCUCAACUAUCACCAAUUUUGAUGUAACUAUGUAACUUUUAAUUUAUUUUAUUUGAGUCUGUUAAUAACUAGUUAACUUCAAAAUUUAAAAGCACAUUUAUCUUUACGAAUUAUAUAGCAUAUUUUAUAUAAUUCACAUAAUUAUAAACCUAUUAAAAUAAGUAAUCAAUUUAAAUUUUAUACCAAAAGAGCCAUCAUAUGACUUAUCAAAUAAAUUGAAAGGUUGGAUACUUAAAUUAAAAUUUUAAAAGAUUGAAUAGUUGAAUUAAAAUGGUUUGUAGUUUGGGUAAAUUUUAUUAUUUUUACAAAGAAAAAAAAUAUAGUAGCAACCUUUGUUUUUUUAUGUUUCAUUGAAUUGUAAAGAAAAUGUUUUUUGGCAUAUAAAUUGUAUAGCAAGCUAGCUAACAAUACAACAACAAACCAACCGUAGGGCAGUUGGCGAAAGUUUUGAUGACUGGUAUCCGAAAAAUUCAAAUUUGAAGGCUAAUUGUUUCACAAUUCUAACUGAAUUUAUUUUUAAAAAUAAACGAAGCUGGUUAACUAUCUCUUUAAAAAACAAUACGACAAAAAGAAAAGCCAUAUGCUUAGAAUAUAAUCAUAUUAUUAUAGUAAUCAUAAUGUUGUAUGAACUAAUGAACUAAUAUUAUUAUUAUAGUAAUGAUAAUGGAAUACAUAGAAUCUAAUCUUAAAAUGGAAAUUAAAUUAAGAAAGCUUAUUUCUUUGUGGAAAAAGUUCAUAUACUAGGUUAUUGAUUAAAAAGCAUAUUUGGGUAGUAUUUUAUUUAUAAUAUAAUAUUGUAAAGUACUUUUAAGAUGAAUAUUAGCCAAACAACAUUCUCUUACAGACAACGCUUAUGUGAUAGAAUUAUCAAAUGAUAUAUAGUUUUUUUAAACAAAACAAUACUAUGUCCUAUAGUACUUCCACAAUAGCACUUAUUCAUACAGUUUGGUCAAACGGUCCUAUACUCAAACAACUUAUAUUUUACUGAAAAGAUAGAGAAAUAGGAAAAAAAAUAUAUAGGAAGAGUAAUUGAGGCACUUAGAGUAGUUUUUUUUUGAAAAUAUCAUCUUUUCCUACUUUGAGAAUUUUGGGGCAAUCUCAAGAAUUUUUUUUUUAAAAAAAACCACUUCGGAGAACUAUCACUAGCUAGGUUGAUAUCUCGUUGAGUGACACUUGUUUGUGACAAUAAAACUAUCAAAAUCAUUUUCACGGUAAUAUUUUGCACAACUUGGCACAAAGUGAAAGACAAAUUUUAUUCAUAGUAAAAGUUGGAUUAUAAGAAAAUGUGUACAAACCUAAAAAUAAAAAGCACAACCAAUAAGGAUAAAAUAAACAUUGAAGUCAGUGUACAAAAUAAUUGCGAAGGUGACUUAAUACGUUCUGUCAACUUUUCAAUAGGGUUUAUAUAUUACUCAAUUUCUCAAUUUUAUGUGCUUGUGGUGCAUGACCUCUCAAACUUGUACUAGUACAUACAUGACUCAACUUGGAUAUAUAGUCAACCAAUAUUUGUUAAAUUUGCUAUUUUCUUCCCACCAUCAAUAAAAACAAACCUUAGAGAUGCUCAUCCAAACAAAAAAAUAUUUUGUUUGAGGCAUAUUUUUUUGGGAAAAAAAAGCAAAAUACCAACUUUAUUCAUUUAGCUACCGUUUGGUUCGGAGUUAAGGAAAAACUAGUUAUUCCAGAAAUAAGGUUAAGGUGGGGUUAGAGUAUUUUUGUAUUUGGUUGGAGGUUGAAGUUAGUCUAGGAUAAUAAAAAAUAGUGUUUGGUUGAAGUAGGUAGGAUAAGAAGGAUAGUGGGUUAUUAUGAAUAGAAAAUAAUGUUUGGUUGGGGUUUGGUGGGGUUAGGUGGGAUUAGCUAAUCCGGAAUAACCCAUUUUUAGAAGUGUUUAGGGAUAAAAUGGGGGUUAAGGGGUUAUUCCACCCCUUAACCCCCAACCAAACAGAGGCUUAGGAUAAUGAACUUAGCUAAAGAGGUGAGGCAAUUGAGGCCUUGGGGAAAAAAAAACACAAAACAAAAGGCUUAAAAACAAAGAAGGAAAAGGAUAAGAAAAGGAGGAAUAGAAAGAAUGUGGAAGAUUCUAAGAACGGUGGUAAUUGACAAUGGUCCGUCUAGAGGCCCACAAUAUUUUGGAUGCCCGUGAGAACCUAGAUCAGGCUUGCAUUAGUAUUUUGGAAAAUCAUAUUGUUCCUCUCAAAGCCAGAUGAUCAUUAAUUACCAUGUGGCCGAGAGUAUAUAUAAUUAGAUCUUACAUUCGCUUGGGAGCCUUACUAUGCCUUGUUAAUAACUCCCAAAACUCUCUAACAUCGUCGAAGGAAUGUGUUAUAGACGGAUCGAUGCGUGAGCAUGUCAGCAUGUAAUAAAAGUAGAGGCAUUUGGAGAAUAGGUGAUCGCAUGUCUCAAACUCGUCCGCACAAAAAGAUACAAAGUUGGUUACCUCUCUUUCCAUAUUUUAGGAGGUUAUUAGUCAUAAGAUUUUUCUUUCUGAGUAGUAACCAAACAAAGAUUUUUAACUUUUUAUGGAAUUUUAGUCUCCAGAUAGAGGGCUCAGGGUAUCUCUUAGUCCUCUAUUCAAGAGGAAGUCGUAUAGUGAUUUGACUGAGAAGCAUUGGUUUGUUGUCCACCUUCGGUUGACUGAGUCUGAUCUAAGGCAAACAACUUGUGCACUCUCUAGCGUGAACCACUUGUGCACUUUCUAGCAUUUCUUUCAAUUAUCGGAACCUAUUCCUAUCUUCUUAGGAGGUAACUUCAACGCCUCUAAGGAUGCGUUUGGUUCGCGCUAUCUUUUAAUGAUUCCUAGUAAUCCAAUAAAAAAUAAAAAAAUAUGACGGUGUUUUGCUAAACGCACUAAGUAAUCUAGUUGGUAAUAUUAGAUUCACUUGCAAAUAAAAUUCACCCCAAAGUACUAAUCUGAUUCCCUUGAGGAAGGGUGGGUAUCCUCAUAUUAAUAAAUUGGGAUAAUCAUAAUAUGUCUAAUUUCUUUCUCUCUUCUUAUCCGCCUGCUAAUUGAUAUUAUUUUUCUUUACACUCUAACCUUAUAUCUCUCUCUAAACUUAUUUUUNGUGUUUGGCUAAACGCAUUAAGUAAUCUAGUUGGUAAUAUUGGAUUCACUUGGAAAUAUGAUUCACCCCAAAGUACUAAUCUCAUUCCCUUAAGGGAUGGUGGGUAUUCUCGUAUUAACGGAUUGGGAUUAUCAUAAUAUGUCUAAUAUCUUUCUUUCUUCCUACCCGCCGGCUAAUUGAUAUUAUUUUUCUUUACAUUCUAACCUUAUAUCUCUCUCUAAACUUAUUUUCUCUCUAAAAUUCAACUUUUUUUCUCUCUCUAAACGAAGCUUUCUCUCUCUCUCUCUCUAAAAUUUCAACUCUCUCACUCCCUCUAAUUUCGACUAUAUUUUUCUUUCUAUUUUUUUAAUUAUACUCUCUCUCCCUUUUUUCUAAAAAGAUGUUGAAACUUUUGGUAAUAUUAUAUAAAAUUAAAUAAAUAAAUAAAUUAAUUUUAUAUUUUUUGUAAUAUUAAAUAACAUGGCUAAUUAAUAUUACCGUGCGAACCAAACACACAAAUUUCACAUUUUUAGUAAUAGGAUGAAUAGGAAUAAAAUUUUCGAAUAUCUUUUAUUCCUAGUAAUCUUUCAUAAUGCGAACCAAACACACCCUAAUAAUCAUGUCCCAUCUCCAGUUCCCUCUUCCCCAUCGAUCCUUAGCCAUUAGGUUGUUCUUUAGAACUUAUUAAAGAUAUCAGGGAAGAUAACUUGUACGGAAACUUCAUCGAUCCUCAAGUUUGUCCCCGUGUGCGCGAGCACAUACUUAGUUUGGAAACUGCUUGUUUCAUAGGGAAGGAGGAGAAAUGUGUUUGUGCAAUUCAUCUACAAUAACAAGAUCCCGAAAGUUUCCAUUAUUGGCUUCUGGAAACUAUACUGAUGUGCAUGUGAGAACAACGACAGAGCUAGGGUCUUAGAAAAUUGCAUAUGAACUAUUUUGAGGUUGUUUUUUAAAAAGUCUAAUAAUAUAGGGGUUUUUGAGCAAAUAUACAUUCCAACUUUAUUUGAUACUAAAAUGUUUCAAAAUCAUGUUUGUAAUUUUUUUAAAAAAUAUCUAUCUUAUUUAAUAUAGGUCCUUAGGGUGAAAAAAUGAAGUAUUCGACAGUUAAGUGAAAUAUAUUGAACUAGAGCGAUAAAAUAAAAAUGUGUAAAACCAACGGUCAAAUUGAGGAUUGCCCAAAAUAAGUUUUUAAGCUAGUCGAACCUUUUGAAUUACGAAGUGACUGGGUCAAAAAUAUGUGUCAAAUUCAAGUUUAUUAAAAAAAGCUUGUGGUGAAAUGUUUUUUUAAAAAAUAGAUUUUCAAACCAUAAGGUGCGUGACACUUAUUUCUAACAUUAAUUUGUUUUAAUUUUUGGCUUGAAAUUUCAAAAAUUUUACAAUUAAAUCUCUUAACCGAAUAUAGUUGGCUAAAUAUUGACGUACUGCUAAUAUAAAAGCAAUAUGACAACUCAAAUAUCAUUAUAUCAUUAAUCACAGUAUUGUCAUAUUACUUUUAUAUUAGCUAAAAAUAGCAUAUAAUAAACUAAACUGGUUAUAAAACUUAUUCAAAUAACUUAGAAAGUUCGAUCUAGAAUUGCAACAAAUAAAAGUUUGAGGAUCAAAGUGUUACCUGGUUCAUGGUUUGAGGACCAAAAUGUAAUUUAGCUAAGAAAAAGGCAAUGCUACAUCUACAACAAUCUUUUGGUUGCAAUCAUUCAACUUGCCCAAUCCAAAGGAUAAAAUUUACUAUAUAGCAGCUACACCACAUCAUUUUUAUCCUGCCAAUCACAUCUCUUUUUUUACGAAAAAAUUAGAACAAAAAUAUAUAUAUUUUUAAAACCUAUGAUGGAAUGUGUGAAUUUUAGGGAAGUUAUUUGCUUAGUUGGGAAUACCACAUCAGUGAUAUGAAUAUUAUAUUAUUUUUAUAUUAGCGACAAGUAGCAUAUAAUAAACUAAAUUGGUUGUAAGACUUAUUGUAAUAACUUAAAAAGUUUAAGCCAAAAUUACAAUAAAUAAAAAUUUGAGAAUCAAAGUGUCACAGAUUCAUAGUUUGAGGACCAAAAUAUAAUUUAGCUAAAAAAAAAAAGCAAUGCUACAUCUACAACAAACUUUUGGAUGUAUUAUUCCCGCCCAAAGGAGGGAGCCUACUGUAUAGCGACUAUACCACAUCAUCUAUAUCGAACCAACCACUUCUCUUUCUUCGAGAAAAAAGUACAAUAAAAAUAUUUUCUUCUAAAACUAAGAUGGGAUAGGUGAAUCACAUGAGAGCUAUUUGAUUGGUUGGAAAUACCACAUCAGUAAUGUUACUAUUGCAUUCUAUUUUUUUUUUUUUGGAAAAACUUCAAAAACCCCCCUUGUGAUUUCGUAGUUUCUCACUUUGCCCUCCUGUGGUUUAAAGUGUAUCAAUUUGCCCCCCUGUGGUUUCGUUUUUAUCUUUUCGGUAGCUUUUUCGUUAAUAUUUCAUUAAAUUAUAUACAAAAAACUUCAGAUACCCAUCUAGAUUUAUCAAAUAUUCACUUUAGUACCCUUUAAAUUUAAUAUUAUUACUAAUUUAAGAAAAAAAAUAAUAAAAUUGAUAAGAAAAAGAGAAAAAAGAAACCACAGGGGGCCAAAUUGAUACAUUUUAAAUCCCGGAGAAGCGAUAAUGCGGUCGACCGCUUUCCCCCUACACGACGUUCCGCUAAUUCAACCCAUUGCGGUCCCAAAAGGGUCAGUGCUGCAACAUUUUGCUGCCGGUCACUUAACAUUAUGCUGAGUGAUAUCCCGCUUAAGCUCGAGCCAUGGGCCCCUAGGAGAUCUCAGCUGGACGUCCGUACGUUCGAACGUAUUAUCUUAAGUGUUAGUUACCUAACACUUGUGAGGAUAGUCGACCGUAUUAUCUUGUAACAUUUGGGAUUUGGGAUUAGGAUUAGUAUUUAAGAAAUAAGAAUUUUUACGUUGUAUUUUAUAUUAUAUGGUCGUUUAUAUGGUGGUCACAGGAUUUUAUUUUAAUUAGUGGAUAAACCACUGCUUUAGCCCUCGUGCGUUUCUGUUAGGCGUCGACGUUGGGAUUUGGGAGUUUUAUAUGUAAAACAUAAUUUAAUUUUUAACUUUUAUUUUCUAAUAUCUUCAAAAUUUUUUUACGGGACAAACUCAACUUAGUAGACAAAGCCAACACCGGCUUAAUCGAGGCUUUAGCAAGGGUUAAAGCCUGCGAGUGCUGACUUCCUUACGCAGUGUCCAUGACCCUACCUGUCCCCUCGUCAACUCUCCGCUGGAGCAUGGUUACCUCUUUCCGCUCCGGCUCUCUGUGGAAGCUCUGCCGAAGCCUGUGCUCUACACACCUUGCUCGCGACGGCUUGAAGAUGGGCUACCUCACCUCACGGGACGCUCGCUCUCACUCUCUUUCUCUUUCCCCUUUCGCGCUCUACUGCUCUCCGCUCCCUCGCUCUCUUUCGCUCCUUCGCUCUCUCUCGCUCUUUGUCUCUAUCGCUCUCCUCGACACGCCUUCUCUCUUCACAUCAUCCCAAAUUAAAUUCAAUCGAAAUCGUUCUUCAUUUUUUCCACACUCCAAUCUUCGAUGACACGAUCACCUAAUUAUAGUCGGUAACCUAGACUAUCAACAUCCUAGAGGGGGAAAGUCAAAGCAUCAAAGAAUCAAAUCGGAGAAUAGNCUUAUUAUUAUUAUUUUUUAAUAUAAACUCCAAAAAGUUUUAAACCAUUUGGUUUGGUUUUUAGUUAAAAAAAGAAAAAACUUCAAAUGCCACGUUAUGGUUUUGCACUUGCUUACUGUUGUACUCCAUGGUUUAAAAUAUUUCACUUUAGUAUUCUGUGGUUUUAUUUUUUUCUUUCUGUUAUUUCUUUCGUUAAUUUUUUUUCGUUAAAUUAAUAACAAAGUUAAAACCACAUGGUACUAAAAUAAAAAUUCGGUAAACUAUAGAGUAAUAAAGUGCAUAUUCGAUAAAUCAUAAGUAAAGUAUAUGAAGUUUUCUAUAUAUAUAUAUAUAUAUAUAGGUGCAGAAAGAAUAAAACGAAACCACAUAAUACUAAAAUGAUAUGAUUUAAAAUAUAUAUAUAUAGAGGUGCAGAAAGGGAAAAACGAAACCACAGAAUAUAAAAAUGAUAUGAUUUAAAUUAUAUGGUACUAAAAUGAGAAAGCACGGAACUAUAUAAGCGCGGUAUUUAGAGAAUGAUUAAAUUAGUGUGUUAAUAAUAGCUUUUAGGUACGCUAAGCUACAAAGAUUACUACUACUCCAGUAGGANNNNNNNNNNNNNNNNNNNNNNNNNNNNNNNNNNNNNNNNNNNNNNNNNNNNNNNNNNNNNNNNNNNNNNAAAAAAAAAAAAAAAAAAACAAAGCUCUCUUCGUCGCUUGUUUUCCGAUUAUAUGUAAAUCGCUCCUCUCUCUCUCUCUCUCUCUCUCUCUCUCUCUCUCUCCAAUUUCUUACAUUUUAUCAUUUCAUGUUUUACUAAUUAAUAUCCUACACUACGUGCAUCAAUGCUAUAGGCAUUGGUUACACAUUCCAUGUUACUUCAUCUUUUUUUUCUUUUUUUUUUGGGUAUAAUUGAGUUCCACUUAGGAUUUUAUUGAUAGUUGUUGUUGUUGUUGUUGUUGUUGUUGUCGUCUUUUUUUAAUGAAAUUUUGUUUGUAAUGUAAUGCUUUUGAAUUGCCCACUAUGUGUUUGAGGAAAUGUCUCUGUGGAGAUUUUCUCAAAAAUUAAAAGGAAAGGUAAAAUGGAUGGAGACUCUCUCAAUUACAGGCCAUUUUGAAGCAACAUUUUGUAAUUUACACCCUCAAUGUAUGAAUGUUUCGUACUCCACUCCUGCUUCGAUUACGUUUGUUCGUUUGGUAGUUUCUUUGAAGGAUCAAACUGAGUUAAAUAUGCAGUUCCUGUCACCAAAUUUGUUUCAGACACACAGAUACACUCACGUGCUUCGUCGCAAAUCUACUUUUGUAUAGUAAACAUUUUACUUCAUCUCAUUAGCUGGUUGCCUCAGAUGUUGUUCCUCCGCAGCAACCCUUGCGACAUGAACUCGAUCCCUCAUUCUCCGCUCUUUCCUUUUUCGGUAGUAGUGGUUCACGCAAAACAUCCAAAUCUAGCCGCACUUCGUCUUUCAUCGCCGAGCUCGAACUAGCAGCACCAAUGCAACUCGUCUUUUGACUACUUGUUUCAGAAGCUGUUUUUAUUGUCUUUGCAUUCGGCCUAAGCAGUAGCAUGCUGUUGAAAAUGACCGCCAAUGACGUGCCCAUAUCCGCAACAACAGCUGCCCAGAGGGACGCGACGCCUCCGAAGGCCAAUGCAAAGAAUAUUAUUUUCACAAUUAAGGACAAUGCCACAUUCUGGUAGACCUUGCCGAGAGAGCUCCUUGCUAAUUUUACGGCUUCUGGUAUCUUACGUAGGUCGUUCGACAUGAGUGCCACGUCAGCAGUUUCGGUCGCUACUGCAGACCCUGCGACCCCCAUGGCGAUGCCUACAUCGCUUGUCGCCAGUGCCGGUGCAUCGUUGAUCCCGUCCCCGACCAUUGCGGUUAGGCCCCACCUCUCUCUGAGCUCUGCGAUUUUCUUCAUCUUUCCUUCUGGCGAUAAGCUCGCUUUGACUUCGAUAUUCUCCCCGAUCUGCACAACCAAGUUAAAAUAAUCCCAUUGAAUCUAUUUCUGUAAGGAGACUAUUACAAAAUCAUCUGUUGACAUAUAUGCUCUUGUAAAUAUGGACUUCUAAAGUUGAUUUUGUGUUAGAGAUAUUAAAGAGGUGCGUUUUUGUAUUAGAGAUAUUAUGUGUAAUAAAUUUCGUAUUCGGUGUCGUAAAUGAAAAUUCAGGUCUUAUAGGACAUAGAUAUAAAGAGGAUUUCUUGGUUUUCAUACCUGCUGUUGGAUUAUUCUUGCCGCCGCUUUCGAAUCACCAGUUAGAACUGUCACAUGGAUACCUUGCUUCUGGAAUAUCAUAGUCAUAGGCAGUUUCAUUAUAUUAUAACUUUGAGCCGAUGGGAAAAAGAAACUAUAAAUUACAGAAACCACCCUUUCAUUUUCCCUGGAUCUUUUGCCAUUAUGGUAUCAACCUUGCAUUUUACUCUCGUCUGAAGAAAGUCUGAAAAUUUGUGACCAAUAGUAAAUUCAGCUACCGAACUUAAUAAGAAUUAGUUGGCAGUUAACAUGGAUUGUGUACUUAAAAGACUUCUUUUACUGGAUGUUUCUAAUUUGACUGUUUAUUACAACAAUUAUUCCAUUCAAUGUUUCUUUUCUACCAUGUUUCAUCCAGAUAAUCUCUCAAACUUAUAUUAUUAUGUUUUGAGUUUGAAUUAAUAGUUAGCCCAAUUCUUCGUAUUUUUCUGAGACGAGUAAAAUGGAAGGUUGUUGUUUAAUGAAUUAAAUGUACAGGGCUAAUUGAGACAAAAAGGGAAAGUGCAAGGGUAGUCGUAUAAAUUAGCCAAUGAAUGAGAGAUCUUUCGUUGUUCUUUUUGUUUGUUCUUCUACCUGUAGUUCAUUAACUGCAUCUGCUGCUUCCUCACGGAUUUGAUCUCCAAGGCAAAAGUAUCCAAUGAAGCGGUUAUCCAUCCCCACAUAACCAACUGUUAUACCUUCCUCCUUGAUAUCAAACUGACCUGAAACAGGAAGAAAUUAAGCUAUAAAAGCAGUAUAAAUAUUAAUUUUCUGCAGUUUUAAGCACCUGAUAUAAUUCGAAGUAGUUUGACCCAAUGUCAUUUACAUCCUUCGAGUUUCAAUUUCAAGAAGUCAGUUCCUGAAGUUUGUUCCGCUUAACAAUUUAGUCUUUUUGUUAGUCUACAGUCUGACUAAGACGCCACAUCAGUACAAUCAAAGUUUGCUGACAUUGAUGUGGUGUUACUGUAGGCCAAAUUUGUGCAGGCAGACCUCUGGGACUGAACUGUUACAAGUGAAUCUCUGCGGUGGUAAUAGAUUUCAAGAUCAAACUUGAAAGACUGAAUUUAUAAUUAACCCAAUUGGAAAGAUGGAGUUCCAUUACUAUUUGUAAGCCAGCGUUUGGCGCUGGCUAGCUUUGCAUUCCCGAUUUCAAUAACUCGUCCAUCUACAUUUCCAGAAAUGCCCUCGCCUGGAACUAUCUUGAAAUCUUUUACUUCUUUACUUGGUUCAAUUCCUUGUAACCUCGCAUAUUCUACUAGAGCUUUUGCCAUGGGGUGGCUUGAGAGGUUCUCCAGGCUUGAAAUCCUGAAGAGUUAGUGCUUCAGUUUCAGAAAAUUAUGAAUUAUGUUAUGUAUGAUAAAUUGCAUGAAUAAUCUCUGUAUAUUACAUGAUAUUUUGACUUAGUUGCUGAAAUUUUAACUGAAACAUUCUAACACCUGUACCUUCAGGGAUAUUGCAAUCACAUGUCCGGCUGUCCAAAAUACUCAAAAGUUUGUUUAGGUGUGCUCGACGCAUGGCUCUUUUCUAUAAGAUAACCAUUUUACCAUUAUCUUGUCAGGGUUAAAUUGGUCGUCUAAUAGAAAAAAGAUCAUGUGGAUUAACAAAAUGCUUUGUAUAUGAGUAGCUUAAAAUGCAUUUGCAAUAUACUUGAAAAUUUAUGGAUUAAAAUGUUUGAGUCAAAAGAUCAAGGACUAAGGCAGAAUAUCUUGAUAGUAUAGGGACUAGCCAUGCGUCUUUCCCUAUUAUAUGUCUAUAGAUUCAAUACAAUUUUUUUUUUCCUUUUUUUGGUCAAUUUUCUUACCAGUAUAACAGGUGGUAAAUAUCCUCCUGUGGGUAUACAUUCUGCAAUUCCACAACCUGGAAUGCGCCUUCUGUUAGUGUUCCUGUUUUGUCAAAUGCCAUUGCUUUCACUUUUGCCAAUGCUUCCAAGUGACUCCCUCCUUUUAUGAUUAGACCCAUUUUGGCAGCCGCAGAAAGGCCGCACACUUUGGCUACCGGCGUCGAGAUUACUAAUGCGCAUGGGCAUGCAACUACGACAAGUAUGAGAGACAAAUACAACCACCGGUGGAUCUCAUGAAGUCUUAAAGCCAAUGGCACAAUCGCAAUUACUCCAGCAAUCAACAAAACCCCUGGUAAUUUUGCAAAUAGUUACUUGUACCUUGCUUCUCAUGUAACAAAAUAAAUUGGCCAUCUUGAAAUCCACUUGUUUUUUGAUUUUGCAACUUUGACCUGCUUUUCUGAACUUUGGACUGAAAAAUACCUCAUGUUUAUUUAUGUAUACUUACGUAUUCAUUAAUACGUAGAGGUAUACCUUUUCCCACAAAUGGAUUUCUCUUUACUCAAAAAAAAGAAGUGUUUAUGCCUCUGUAAUGAUGCAUCUCAAAUAUACUGUCAUUUAUUUUAUAGAAAUGUGCAUACCUUCUAUUGUGUAGCAUAGCAAAAUUAUCUUGAUCAUUGAUGUUAGGUUGCAAACAAACUUCCAGAUAGUAAGAUAGAAAAUUCUUUAAUGUUUGUGUAAUUACUUUAUAGUCUUACUGUGUACCUGUAAGUGCAUCUAUUUCUUAUGAAUUGGAAGAUUAAAUAACCAAGAGAGUGUACAUGUAAGAUGAGAUAUUGAGGUGGAUGUGCAGUGACCUUUGGUUCCUGCAAAAGGUUACUGUUUGAUCCUAUCCAAUGUAAGUUUAGCACUCAUAGAUGAUACAUGGAAAUUGAUUCAAAUGCUUUGGGCAUGUGCAAUGCGGACCAUGACGUGCAUAGUUGAAGGAGUUUCAAUUUGAAGGUGCCUUAAAAGAGGAAUGGGAAGAACAAAGUUAAUAUUAGAGGAAGUAGUGUUCAAGUACAUUAUAGGCAAAACAGAGUUGAAUGGAUUCAUUCAAUCCGUAAAAUUGACAACAAAUACUUACCACUGAAGGCUUAGUUACUGUUUUUGUUAUUGUUUUAUUGAUGUUUAAUAUCGAAAAUUUAUCAAUCUGUACAGCCUUUUCAUAUGAAGGCUUUUCAAGUUUGGUUUGUUCUCACUUGAUUUAUAUCUUACCAGAGAAACAAAGGCUCAAUGACACUAAUUAGUAUUUUUGGGGUAUUAUUGUGCCUAUGCUGUCACCAAAUCUUGGCAGGAAUGUUUCAUUUUAAAUAGUUGCUCUUGCUCUGUGUCCUCAAUCAUUUAAUGAUUUUUGAGUUUUAACAUCUUAUGGGGUGGGGAUAUUUUACUUUCAGAUCAAAUUUCUGAUGCUCCUUUUACAUGACAUUCGUAUAAUAUAAACAAAUAUAAGUAUGCCUAUGAGAUCAGACAUUUUAACUAUUUUGACCUGUUUUCAUUGAAUCUGUUUUGUGCUAAUUAACCUACAACACUAUCAUUUUGAAAAUUGAAACCAAACCUGGUGUGUAGUAUUUUGCAAACUUCUCUAUGAAUUCUUCUAUGUUUGACCUUUGAUUCUGAGCAUCUUCGACGACCUUCACCAUUCUCGCAACAGCCGAAUCAUCUUUUAUUGCCUUAGCAGCCACAUUAAUAAACCCUGCAUAAUUUAAAAAACCCACAACUUUUAGUGUUUGGAAAACUAUUGCUAAAUUGCAUUAAGGUCCUCAACCUUUUGACGUAGUUCCAACUUAGUCCUCAGCCUUUAACUUGUUAUCCUUGGGUCUCUAACCUUCAAAUUUCUUUUGCGAUCACACCUUUUCUGUUAAGUUGCUCCUUUUAAGAAAAUUGAAAUGUUUAUGUAAUUGCCAACAUACUUACCACGUUAGCUUCUUUUGGAUUUUGCGUUUGUGUUAGCAUUGAUUUUGCCUAGAUGGCAAUUAUACUUUUGUCAAAUUUAACCUAGGAGCUCAACAGAAAGGGUAAGAUGUCAACGAAAUGCAAAGGUUAGGAAUCUGAUUGUAACAAUCUAUAGGUUGACGACCGAUCUGAAACUCCGCUAGAAGGGUGAGGACCUCUGUUGCAAUUUACUAGUGGAGAUUUUACAUAUAUCCCUGCAAAAUCAUCUAUUUACAUUCGCAUCUGUUAUCUUAAGCUAGGACAUCAUCUGCAUCAUGGGGGAAGUGAGCUCUCCAUUAGAACUUUUUUUUUGAGUUUUUUAACAGAAGAGAUUUCCAGGGAUAUAUAUACGUGUGUGUGUGUGUGUGUGUGUAAAUGCAUCAACUGUUAGCAUUUAGGGAAAGUUCACCUGUGAGGACAACUGUUCCAGCCCAUACAUUUGAACCUUUCUGUUUAUCCACCGGCAUAAACUCUCCAGUCAAGCUACUCUCAUCUAUAGAGCUUUCCCCAGACACUAUUACGCCAUCAACAGGAACCUGUUCACCAGCUUUAACUGAAACAAUUGUAUCAAUCCUAAUAUUUUCCACUGGUACCACUUCUCCCGUUUCUGCAAUAACUGCCGUUCUAGGUGCUGAGUUUAUAAGUGACUCUAGUGUAGUUCGUGCCUGAAAAGAUGAGAAAGAAAGCUCAAGCCAUUUUUUCUUAACUUUAUUCGGGGUUUUACAUAUAUGUUCCUGCAAAAUUAUCUAGUUUAUAUAUGUAAGUGUGUCGAUGUAAAGUCUGAGUUUUCAUAUGUACAUGAAAAUACAAUUUCUGGCAAAACUUUUCUUAAAGGGUACUUGUUUCCGUAUUCAACUAUGUUGUUCAGAGAGAUAUAAACAUGCAAGAAAUGAAUUUGUGGGGGCAUGAAGAAAAUUUAGAAUAUAUUUAGAGAAAGAGAUGAUUAUGUAGGGUAAAUAACAUCUUUUUAUUCUUUUGGCAUGCAUAGCAUCUUGGCUUGCAGGAACUUGGUAGGAAAGAUAUCUGUAUUUUUUUGAAUAUUCUCAUCUUUUAACCUUGUCUGUAGACAUUUCUUCCAGCCACUCCGCGAAUGUGAAGAGGAAAACUAUUGAUGCUCCUUCAAGGUAAUCUCUGAGCCCAAUUGCUCCGAAAGCUACAUUGAAUCAAAAUUUGCUUUUGUUCCUGUCAAUUAUUUGAGUAAACCCGUUCGCUAGUAAAGCGAAGUGCUUGUUUAGCCUGACUUUUGAAACAGCUCCACCGAGGAAGCAAAAGUCAGGUGUUUGACAAAAUGAAUUUUUGAAACUUCGAACUGGUGCAGAAGGUUGAAAUGAGCUUCUUGGCUAGCACUUUUUGCAAAAGUCAUGUCCCUGCCAAACGAGCACAAUACUUCUGCAAAAGUACUAGCUUCAGAACAAAAUGUCUGAAGCUUUUGUUAUCAUGGGAAGUUUAAAAAUAAGAUUAUGGAAUCUGAUACUAGAUGCUUACAGUUUGGAUUUUGUACUACCGCCAGAAGAAGACAAUUUCAACAAAACAGCUGUUUGAAGACAAUUUCAAGUUUCAACAAAACAGCUGUUCAUUCUUUUUCAAACGAAUUUUUAAGUAAAGAGCAUGUCUGCAGAAGUUUCUUCUAGGCCAAGCAAGAUCAAUAUCUCACAACAGAAUAUAGUAAUUGCGACAUAAUAUAAUAAUUCUCUUUCUUUGUAGAGCAGGAUAAAUGGGUAGAUUGGGAACUAACUUGCAAUCACCAUUAAGACAUUAAUAUCCAGUACGAAUCGACGAAUAGCAGCAAUGGAUCGUCUCAACAUGCCCGGAAUUCCAACAGCAAUAGAUGCCAAUGCGACCCAAAUUAAUGGUUGGUAAAUAUAGCUGAACAUGGCUAUGAUUAGUAGCAUUCCACAAGCUAUUAUAUUCAAGCUUGGCCAUGGCUUCUUUCUCUCUUUAACUUUUCCAAGCUCUCGGAUGUUGGCAUUCAGCUUCGCCUUAUUCAGCGCAUCAACUGUCAAAGAAAGACAUAUAGAGUCAGUGCAUGUUUUGGCUGGAUUACUUCGGGAAGCAGCAGACAGGUGUUUGGCAAACAAAAAUUCUGGAGCAGACAAAAACUGGAACAAGCUUUUGACCCUCAGAUGCAGAUGCUCCAACUUUUUCUACUUCUACUGUUGGAAGCUAUUGGUCAGGAUAUCAAUGAAAAAACUGUUUGGAUUUUGUCGAAUAGCUUUACUUAACAGCACUUUUGCAAAAGCUCCAUCCGAGCCACAGAAGCAGAGAAGCCCUUAGCGCCUCUUUCUCCUUGCUUUUAAUACUACCCUAUAAAGCAACAAUCGGAUGUUUGGCUAACAAAAAAAUUGAAGCUUUUGGUGUGGCGGGAAGUUGAAAGAGCUUACAGAAAGAUGUUGUUUGAGGAAUUUUAGUUGAAAAAUAGUUAGUGCUUUUUCGACCAGUUCUACUUAAAUAGUAUAUCCAUAUAUGUCCUGCUGGCCCAGAAAGAACUGUACUGGAAUUGGUUUGGCGAGAAUAAAUUGGGAAGGUAAGUAAUUCAUUUAUCAAUCACCUAUAUGAGAAGCUGGAACUUGCGUAGGAUCAUGGAGGACGAUAACGGUCUUUGCCACCGUAUUUAUUGAGACAUUCUCAAUUCCUUGUAGAGGUUCCAACAGCUUAUGAACUAAAGCAGCUUCUGAAGCACAGCAGAGCCCCGAUACAGAGAACGUGGUCUUCUGCAUGACUGAUGGCAGUCUGGGUUCGACUUUGUCCGCCAUCUUCUAGCUAAAACUAUCAUAUCAAUUUACAAUGAUUCAGUAUGCAAUGAAUUAAGGUAAUUAUCCUUAGGCUUUUGUAGCAACUAGCAACAGGAGCUGUUUUCAGAAGCUCUCACCUUGUUUAGAGCACUUGUUUGUGCAGCUAAUCCCUUGUUUCCUCUUUCUAAAGCUGUAGGUUCAGAUUCUGCAAGAGUUAUGGGAGAAUGAAAAGAGAUGGGAGCAGGAUGGCAUGAUUUGAGCCUUUGAGGUAAGCUACUAGUUUUAAUACUUAAAUUUCUCUUGACUUACUAAUAUUUGUUAAGAAAAAUACUACUUGUGCAUUAGAUGUCAAUUAAAUUAAGCGUUAAGUUGGGGAUAGAAUACUAGCUGAUUUCAUGAGAAACAGGAUAAGUCACCAUCCCUUUCUUAUUUUAUUUUGUGCGUGAGGUCAAAGUGAUAUCUUGCCAGUUAUCAUUAGAUUAUAAAAUGUUUGUCUCAUAUGGUUUCUCUGGAAUGGCAUCUUCCUCUGUCUAGAACAUUUUUCAGGAAUUGAGAUUAGCUUGGCCAUUUUAACCUUGUUGACUCUCUCUCUCUCUCUCUCUCUCUCUCUCUCAAAGCACUAUUUAGCCAAUUUUGAUCUGGUUAGGAGUUGACUAGUGUUAAGAUCUGCCUAUCUAGUUUUUGCCUGGUUAGCGUAUUACUGGAUCUCUUUUGAGAUGUUAUUCCUCUUUAAAAGGUUUAGACUCUCUAUCUCUCUCUCUUAAAAAAAGAAAUUCUCUCUCUCAAUACCAUUCUAGCCAGUUUCUACCUGGUUAGGAGUUGACCGAUCUGAAAGAUCUUUUUUUUUUUUGAGAAAUAGGUAGCACGCUACCCGCUUCGUUUAUUUCAUUUAGAAAUAAACUUAGCUGGAAAUGUGAAUCAACUAGGAUUUGAACUUGGAACUUCGGAUACCAACCACCAAGCCCUUUGCCACUUGCGUUAGGGACGGUCGGUGAUCUGAAAGAUCUUGUUCAAAGCUUCUCCUGAUUAUUAUAUCACUAAACCUCUCUCUCUCUCUCUCUCUCUUUCUCUCUCUUUCUCUCUCUCUCUACACACACAAACAGAAAAGCACAGAAAUACACAAGAAAUAAAAAAAAAUCCUGUUUCUAUCACUACAGUCUUGCUUCUCUUUUCUUAUGUUUGACAAUCUGCUUCAACCAUUUCAUACAUACCAAUAUCAAAAGAAUAAAAGAGAAGAUCUUGAUGUUUAUUGCAUUCAUUCACAGAGAAUAAACUACGAAUCGUAUCGCAUUGUAUUGUAUGUUCUACAUUUUAUUAUAUUACAUUUAUGUUCUAAAAUAUACAAGAGAAAACAAAGCACCUUACCUCCUCCAUAGACCGCCGUUAAACAAACACAAAUAGGUGGUAUUUCAUUUGACUCCGAGGAUAAUUGCUCUAUCUUCUCCUCCUUAUAUUAACAUGCUCUUUUCGACUCUUCCUAUGAUUUUAUGGUUAGUAAUGAUCUCUCAUUAUUUCUUGGUUAAGACAAAGAAAACCCGGUGUAAAUGGUUGGAUCCGAAAGUUAUCAAUCGACCCUGGAGGAUUUCACUCUUUUUUCUUUUCUUUUUUUUAACUCUUGAGAAUAUUGAUUAAGGAGGAAAGUUUUUAAAAUUGUAAACUACGAAGAUUUGUUUAGAAAACAGUGAAAAUACAAAUGUUUUAAUCACAUUUAGUUAAGCAUGAUAUUAUAUCUUAGCCUUCUUGUGUCUGUGUCCUAUUUUGUCCUCGUUGAAUUUGAAUUUAAAUUUGGAUCUUUUUAUGAAACAUAAGGCAAUUUGAUCAUACAUGUAGUGAAUUAUUUUGUUAAGCAUCAUCUUCUCCCAUAUUCUUGGCCUUCUCAUUGUUUCAUGUGCAUAUUUCACCACCACCCAAAAAUAAAAAAUAGAAAAAACAACUAACAUAACUACCUAUAUAUCUCAGGUUUUCACAACAACUAAAACUUGAACAAUGAGAGAGAAUUAAAAAAAAAUCAUAAUCAAAAUCAAACAUUAAACAUAGAACAAUGAGGAAGGACAUUACUAUUUCAUCAAUUAAUCACCCUACAAUUUGCCCUUAUCUCUCCAUUACUCCCAGUAGUCACAUUAAUAUAUCCCAUCUUCACCAUUGCCGUGGCGAAACUGCUCAAGAACAACGCCGAGUUAUUCGCAUAUUGCCUCACCAGCGCUACUGCCGUCGUGUUGACCGACGUCAGCAUCUGGUCGGAGGUGAACAGCCCCCGGUUCGCCAGCAAAUUGCUGUAAUAGCCCGAGUCGAAUGCGUUCGGGCUCGUAAGAUCGAUCGGCACGCUUAAGCUCGCGUUUGAGCUGCCCUGAGGGCACUGGCGCUUUAACUGCGACGCGUACGUCGAGUUGAGGAUCGGAUCCUGGCUCAUCGUUGAGUUGAAGCUGAAUAGCCUGCUGCUGAACGAGCUGCAUUGGGAGUAGCCGAUCGUGUGGGCACCUAUGAGCAGAAAUAUCGCGUUAUUAUGUAAUAAUGCACGUAAGGACGCACAAAGAAGCACAAGUUAAGAGUUUAGCAAAUAACGAAAUUUUAGCUUUUCCAUAGUGUGAAAUUGUUGUUUGGGCCUUUUCUAUUACUUUGUAUGUAGACUAUAGUAGAUGAAAUUUAGAACAAUGUUACUUUGUAUUACUUUCUCAAUCGCUCGAUUAUUGCUUUUAGGUAAAAAAUAUAUGUAACUUACUUGAACUAUGGAUCAUUUUGAAUUAGCCAUACGAUCUUUCAAAUUUUAAUUUUACUAUCCAACCUUUCAGUUUGUCUUAUUUGAAUUAGUCAUUAAGCUAAUUGCUUACUUUAAUAAAUUUAUCAUUGCGGGAAUUGUAUGAAAUAUACUAACUAAAUUUAUAAAGAUGAACGACGUAUUUAAAUUUUGAAGCAAGAAUGUUGUUAACUCACUCAAAUUAAACAAGUUGAAAGGUUGACUAGUAAAAUUAAAAUUUCGAAAAUAUCGUCGGAUAGUCGAAUCAAAAUGCACCAAAUUUGUACAUAUUUACCUUGUUUUUAUGCGUUGGUCUACUAGACCAGGUCCAGGGUAUAAUUUCUCAUGAACAACACGCUUUAUAAUUUUAAGUUUUUGAUGCUUUUUUAUCGCUCAUCUACUAAACUCUCUAUCAUCCAAAAGUAGCAGCUCUACUGUGAAGCUUUUUCUUUCACCAGCUUUGUUACAACAUCACUUGCGUCGAAGUACAUAUUCGCUUUUUGAAUGAUCGAUAUAGGAGGUACAUGUACCUGAGAGGGUGAUCAUUUCAUCUUGGGUGAAUCCUUUGUUCGCAAACAUCUGAGUGAGUUGCGUGAGGUCCGAUGACGGCGGCGGGAGAUUUCCGAGCGUUUCGAGGGCCACCGAAACCCUCCCAUCCUUUCUACCCGCGGGAACUUUGUAUGAAUAGCCUCCCGUCUAACCAAAUCAAUCAUCGAGUACAGAAAACAAUAAUCAUAACGACAAAAUAAACAUAUAUAGAGGAUCGAUUUGCAGUUAAACGAAGCACUUCAUGGUUACUUAAAACUAGUUAGGUGUUUGGCAAAUAAAUAGCUGAAUCUUCUAUCAUGGCAAAAAAUUAAAGCGCUGCAUGCGACUAAGUGAAAAAAACUUAAGAAAAGAAAUAAUUGCAAAAGCAUUUUAUGCCAAUUCUAUUGCCUUAACCUGAUUUGCGCUUUUAUCGGUCGAAAACAUAAUUAAGAAGGGAGCUACAUAUAAUCUUUUUUCGAUAUAACUAUACUGAUACUUACCAGAACAAUGCUAUCUCUUGCUGCAAAUGCUAGUAUAUCCGCACACGAAACGAUUCCCUUACAUGUUUGCUCCAGCCGCGCCUUUGCGUUGUCGAUGACUUCGAACCCGCGCAGGCUUUUGUUAGGGGGCGCGUCCUUCUCUGCUGUGUUAUUCGUUGUUGAAUCGAUGAGAACCGACGCAUCACAACCCUAAACUUCAUACAUAAAAUCGUUCUAUUAUCUUCUCAUAAAAGGAUUAAAUCACCAUCAACACUUAAAGAUGGAGAAUGUUUGUUAUUCACUAAGCAGGUGUACGACGCCAUGAUCAUUUAUUCAAGUAAAAUUUAUUCGCUCUUUCGAUAACAAAACUUACUCUACUAAUCUUAAUCCCUCUCAAACAAGUUGGUUAGUAAUACAGAGAGAGAGAGAGAGAGAGAGAGAGAGAGAGAGGAAUUUAAGAGACCAAACAAUGGAAAGAAAAGAAAGGAGAGAAAUUAAAGAGAGGUAAAGAGGGGACUAACCCUAACAAAGCAAUCAUGAAAGUGCAUCCUUAAAAGGCCAGCAGCUAAAGCUGCAUUGGCUGUCACUGCUUUGGUUACCUCAUCCCUCACAAUGCUCUCAGCUGAGGGGCAUGUGGUGUUGUAGAAACCAACCUGGAGUUGUGCUUCUGACACUGAUGAUAGUAUCUCAGUAAAGCUCAAUACACACAGUGCUAGAGAGAGAAACAUAUUGUUUCCUCUCUUAAAUGCCAUCUCUCUCUCUCUCUCUCUCUCUCUCUCUCUCAAACUCUCUAGACUUGCAAAGUACUCUCUAGUUCUAACUUAUAUCAGUGACUAAUUGGCAAUAUAUAGCAUGGUUUUGUGUGUGUGUGAGAGAGAGAGAGAGAGAGAGAGAGGAGAGAUUAUUGCUUGGAUUUGGACCACUAUUCGAUUUAUGGACCACCCACAGAUUUGCCCUAUGUUCCAUCCAAGUUUUUUAUCCCCACCACUAUUAAAGGAAAUAUAUGUUCUCAACAUAAGAAAAGUAACUAGCUAUAAUUUGCUCAGUCCUGGUUCUUUUAUGAUCAUACUUUUGCUUUCAGUUACAAUCACAUCUAGUAUAAAUAAAAGGUCUUAGAGUUUUGUUGUGGUAGGAAAUAUAAAUAGUUUUUUUUAGCUCCAAAAAUUAAAGCAUCAAUUUGAAGUUUCUAAUUUUAUUAUAUUAUAUAUGUAGUUGUGGAGACCAUAAUUGGUGUGGGAGGAAUUUAAGGAUUGGUGGUGUGGAAGGAAAGUAGAAGUCCAGUGAGAUUUAAAAGCAGUACUUCUAUUUUAUUAUCAUGUAAAAAACUAAUUGCUCUAAAAGCUAUAUAAAAGAACAACCUGUUUUUCAAUUUAUUUAUUCAAGCAUUUCCCUCACUUUUGUGGCUUAACUUGGUGAGAUUUAAACUCUGGAUUUUCUACGUUAAUAUAAUGUAAAACCACCAAUUAUUAUAUUCUGUUUGGAUGUAUGAAUAUCUUAUUUGAUAUAUUUUUUAGUUUACUCAAGAAGCAUAUAAUACUUGGUAGUUGAUGAGUAUGAGUAAUUGUCUAGAAUGAAUUACACAUUUGGCUUUUAAAUUAUUUUUAUUGGAAAAAGAUGAGUUAUUCCAUAAUUACAUGUGCUAUCCUAAUAGAUCUUGGAUAUUAAGACCUUUCAUAAAACAAAAAUCAAACAUUUGGUUUUCAAUUGCACCAGAAUUUUUUUAUGUUGAAUAAGUUAUUGUUAAAUAUCUUAUUAUAAUAGGCAAAUAAGACCUAAAGGCCUAAGGAAACAAUAUUUUUAUUUAGGUAAAAAUAUAUAGAACUUAUCUGAACUAUGUACUAUUUUGAAUCGGCUACCCAAACUUUCAAAAUUAUGAUUUUACUAUCCAAUCGUUCAAUCUGUUUGAUUUGAAUCAGUCAACGAUACUCUAAUUUCAAAAUGUAAACCAAUUACUUACUUUAAUAAAUUUAUAAUUAUGAAAAUCAUAAAAAAAAAUAUUAAUUAAAUAUAUAAAAAUAAACAGGCACAUUUAAAUUACAAAAUUAAAAUAUCAUUGACUGAUUCAAAUCAAAUAAAUUGAAAGAUUAAAUAGUAGUUAUUUUAAAAUAGUUCAUAUAAUAUAGGUCAGACAAGUUCAUUAAGUUUUUGCUUUUAAUUUAGUAUCUCAAAAAGGUGGUCCAUAUAAAUAUAUAUAUAUAUAUAUAUAUAUAUAUAUAUAUAUAUAUAUANNNNNNNNNNNNNNNNNNNNNNAGAGAGAGAGAGAGAGAGAGAGAGAGAGAGAGAGAGAGAGAGAGAGAGAUGAGAUGGUGCAUGGAUCAAAGUAUCAUCCAUGUAUUGAGAGAAGGUGAUCAGGGGACAAGAGAGGGAGGGACCUCAAAAAGAGGGGAGCAAUAUAUUAUUAUAAGAAGAAGCCAUGUGAGUGGUGUAGGUGGAAGCCAAAAGAAGACCCAUGUCUUAAGGUGAGAGGGCAUUGGGAGUAGAGAAGUAGUGAAACAGUACAUCUUUGUUUUUUUCUGUAUUGCAGUAGUAGUAGCCAACAAGCAUCAUCUACUGACACCAUGAAAGGAUUUAUAAGAGUCAGCUCCAUCGAUCGUGUCCCCUAUGUCUAUCUAUCUAGGAAAUUUCCUCCUCAAGGUACAGUAUAUAUAUAUAUACAGAGAGAUGAACUAGCAUGCUGUUGAUAGUAUAUAAAUAGUUUUUAUUAUCUUUUUUUUUACUAUUAUUAGGUUAUUACUAUUCUAUCUACCACCACUAAACUCUAUAAGUAUUUAAUGAUAAAAAUAUAGUAAACAUUAUUUCUAUAUUGUCAAUAGUAUUCUAGCUUUACUAUAUAUAUAUAUAUAUAUAUAUAGUCCAGCUAUGGUUCUUGUAAAAACACCAAGCACUAUAUAUAUAUAUAGUCCAGCUAUGGUUCUUGUAAAAACACCAAGCACUUGGUACUUAUAAGUUUUUUAUCCUUAGAUCUAUUCCUCGGAUCAUUUUCAACCAUUAAAUUAUACUAUUCAAUCAACCACCCACUCAACCCUAGGGUGCCCACAUCAUCCUAACCGUAUAUCUCUUAAUUCAAUGGCUAAAAAUCUACAAGCACUAAUAACUUGGUACUUUUAAAAGCAUAGGAGCUCAAUUAUAUAUAUAUAUAUAUAUAUAUAUAGUAACCUAUAUAUAUAUAUAUAUAUAAUAUAUAUAUGAGUUGGACUGGGCCUACUAUUCGGAUACAAAUCCCAUUGUUGCUUACCAGUUUUAGUUUUGGAUCAACUCAUUUUCAUUAUUUUAACCGUUGGAUUAAAUACUAUUAACCCAGUGGAUCGGUCAACCCUAGGGACCACCAACUCUAACCGACUAAUAUCAUACUGACCCUACAAUUUUUCAGUCCAAUGGCGUUAAAAACUUGCACUAGGCAAAAGAGUAUUUACUGUUAAUUAGUAUUCCAGCCUAUUCUAUAUAUAUCAUACUAUAUAUAUAUAGAGUGAGGCUACUAUGCUAUGGAAGCCACGGAGCCUGUGCCUAUGUGUCGGGCCGUUCCAGCUUGUUUUUCGAUGUUGCCGGCUUUCGAAUCGUCGAUGCCUCGUUUUAACUUGCGAUCUAGAGUAUUUGAAGUACCUAGAAAAAAAAAAAAAAAAAAAAUAAAAAAAAAAAACACAAAAAAAAAAAAAAAAAUAAAAAAAAAAAAAAAAAAAAAAAAAAAAAAAAAAAAAAAAAAAAAAUAAAAAAAAAAAAAAAAAAAAAAAAAAAAAAAAACAAUAAAUUUUAUGAUUUUACGAUAUCAUUUGCCUACGGUGAACGAGAGGGGCUCCAAAAUCACGGCUGAAAAUAAAAAAUUCUUUACAAAUUAAUAGUAUGACAUUUAAAAUUUUAAGAAUCAAUAGAUAUUGAUCUUGUGUUUAUAUCUAGCUAUUAAAGAAUUUUCUAUCAAAUUUUCACGUAAUUUGGAUAUUUUCUAUUACUUAACUUGCAAAACGGCUCACUACGGCACUUCGAAAUUUGUUGUUUUUGAUGCCCAUUCGAUCACUAGGCAAGAUGAAUAUCGAAAAUAACUAAAUUUAUUUUACUAGCGUAUCCAAACACUCAUAGAUCAAGUUUACAGAGCGACGGACGAAUCGAAGUGACGCAACCCGGCCCACCUCGAAAACGAGCUGAAGCACGGAAGGCUCCGUGCUUUGAUUAGCAUAGUACUCUCUACUAUAUAUUAUUAUAUAUAUAUUAUAUAUAUUAUAGACAGUUGAGCUGGAUGCUUCUGGAGCACGGAGCCUUCCGAUGCUUCAAAGUUGUUUGCGAUGUUGGGACUUUAAAUUGACGAUCGGCUCUUAAGCUAUUGAUUUUAUGAGUUUUUGAAUUACCUAGACAAAUAAAAUUUUGCUAAUUUUUCUAUAUCAUUUUGCUCGAUCGAAAGGAGGCUCAAAAUAAUAUUUUAAUGGUCUGUGGUGAGCCCGUUUGCAAGUUGUAAGCGGUUUGUAAAAUAUCCAAAUCACCGUGAAGAUUUUGAUAGAAAAUUCUUUUACUAAUAUAAAACAAAUCAAUACUUUAUAUCUAAAAUUUUAUAUCGUAUAUCAUAUUUUGUAAGAUUUUUAUUUCCAGGCCGGUUGAUUUUGCCCUUUGAUCACUAGCAAAUGAUAUCAAAAAUCACACAAAAUUUAUUUUCCUGGGACUCUCAAUAUCUUAGAUCAAGCUCUACGGCGAUUCGUCGAUUCGAAGAGUUCCGAACAUCGAAAAUAACUUGGAAGUUAUCGGAGCGACUCCGCUGCUCAAAGAUUCCAGUACAUAUUCCUAUAAUAUAUAUAUAUACUAUAAUGAUAUAGAGGGAGAGAGCCGCCGACCGCAGAGAGAGAGAUGGAGAGAGCUGAGAGAGAGAGGAUUGUUAGAGAGAAGAGAGAGAGGAGAGUCCAGCUAUAAGUUAGUUGUUAGCACCCCGCCAUUUGAUGCUAUCAAGUUUUCUGCCAUUAGAUCUAUCCUUUUAAUCAUUUUCACCUGUUAGAUCAUGCUAUUCAACCAAUCACCCACUUAACUCUAAGAAACCACUGUCAUCCUAACCGCAUAUUGCUUCAUCCAAAGGCCUAAAACUUAAUGACACCAAUGACUUUGUGCUAUUAAUAGUAUUCUAGCCUAGUUCCAUAUAUUUCUAUAUAUAUAUAGAAUUAGGCUUUGAGCUAGAAUAUUUUUAGUAGUAUUUGGAUUCUUUUACUACUAAAUUUAUAAUUGUUGGAUGAAAAAAUUAUGGGAUUGGGAUGAUAGUAAUUUUCUAGGAUUUAGUGGGUGGUUAGUAGAAUAAGAAGUGGAAUUGAUUAAAGGAUAAUGCUAAUAGUGGAAAACUUAAUAGCAUCAAAUACUUGGUGUUAUAAGAAGUUUCCCAACCAGAAUCUAUAUAUAGAUAGGAAUACUAUUAAUAGUAUUUGAAUUCUUUAGCUAUUUAGUUUUUAAUCCUUAUAUAAAAGAGAAAACUUCAAAUACCCCCCUGUGGUUUCGCACUUUUUUAUUUUAGUACCUUAUGGUUUAAAAUGUAUCAAGUUAGUACCCUGUGGUUUCGCACUUUCUCACUUUAGUACUUGAUAUUAUGGAAAUAAUGUUUACUAUCAACUUUUUGCAUUUCGAUGCCUAGGAGUUAGUAAAGAUUAGUGAAAUAGUAAUAAUUUAAGGGUGAAAAAGUUGAUAGUAAAUUCUAUUCAUAUACUAUUAAUAGGAACUAGGCUGGAAUACUAUUAAUAGCAUCAAUGACUUGGUGCUAUUAAGUUUUCUGUUCUUAGAUUAAAAGAUGUGCGGUUAGGAUGAUGUGGGCUUCCUAGGGUUGAGUGGAUGGUUGGUUGAAUAAUAUAAUCGAACGGAUAAAAAUGAUAAAAGAGAUAAAUCUAACGGCAGAAAACUUGAUAGCACCGAAUGCUUCGUACUAUCGAUAGUAUCCCAGCCGGACUCCUAUUAAUAGUAUAGCGAGUGAUCCCUCUCUCUUUGUACAUAUGUCAAAUUAUUUUUUAGGUAUAAACUCAUAAAACAUAUUUAAACUAUGAUCCAUUUUGAUUAAGCUAUCUAAUUUUUAAAAAUUUUUAUUUUACCGUCCAAUUUUUUAAUUUGUUUGAUUUGAGUCGGUCAAAGAUGUUUUGACUUUAGAAAUUCAAACUAAUUACUUAUUUUAAUAAAUUUAUAGUUGUGAAAAUUAUAUGGAACAUUCUAAUUAAAUAUGUAAAAAUAAAGGGCACACUCAAAUUUUUAAGCUAAAGCAUCGUUGACUGAUUUAAAUCAAACAAAUUGACAGUUGAAUAGUUUUGAAAAAUAUGAUAGAAAAAGAACUCAUUUUGAUCGUAGUGCUAAAAAAUUAAAUUUUAGAAUGACUCGUUAUUUCUCUGCAAAGCGCAUAAAAAUGUUCAUAAUAAGAAUUUCUAUCUUUUAAUUAGAGCGUAUUGCUUCGUUUCGACGUCUUUUGGAGUCCAACAAUAAUAUUCUUAUAGGGUGGUCGUCUAGAUAUAGUUCUUUUUCACAACGUAUUGAUAAAUUAGCUAAGUGGGCCUUGGUUCCCAGGUAGCUUCUAGUUGGUCUUCUUUCGCAGAGUUUGAGAAGUCUGUAACUCCUUAUCAUGUGGAAUAAAUGCCUUAUGGUGUUCUUUUCAAAAAAAAAAAAAGAAAAAAAAGAAUUUCUAUCUUUUAAAAUAAGUUACAAGAAACAUUACAGAAAUAAUUUUAACACUGUGAUGUAUAGAAGUAGUAAUGCUAGAUAAGAAGUAGUGAAUUAAUCUUUGAGGCAGCAUUUAAUUUGAGGAUUUUAAUAUCAGGGAUAUAAUGAAA